rnacentral:lncRNA from 1 species
GGUUACCUUCUCCAAGCGCCGCAAUGGAUUGCUCAAGAAAGCUAAAGAGCUAUCGGUGCUCUGCGAUCUGGAUAUCGGCGCCAUAAUCUAUUCCUGCCGAGGCAAGCUCUACCACUACUGCAGCACCAACAGGUUAAUUUUUUUUAUAUAUAAUUAAAUUCCCAUUGCAAUGUAAGCUGAGGUUGGCCCAAGUUGCUGAUUUCCCAAAAUAGAAGUCUCGGAGCUUAAUUUAGCAUAAAGGUGUCGCCUUCCAAUUUCCAUCCCUUUCUUCCCCUAAAAACCUCGUGCUACGUCGUAUCGCUCAACUUUAUCCAUCUACNUAUUUAUACUUAUUCUCAUUAUAUACAUUCUCAAAUGUGUUAAUGGUGCGGAAUAUGCGAAAUGGAUAGUGAAAAUCAAAUGUUAGCCACCAAUUUAAUUGAGUUCAAAAAUUUUUGUAGGCCACUAAGUUAGGGCACUUUGCAAAGUUAGGCUACAUUUUUUCGGGCUUUCAAAUUUGGGCAAUUUAUUAUUAAUUUCGGCAUAAGUGAGCCAUAUUAUAGCCCGAUCGGACCCAAAUGUGACUCAUUUACGCCGAAAUUAAUAAUAAAUGAUCCAAAUUUGCAAAUCCAAAAAAAUGUGACUUAAUUUUAUAAAGCGCCCUAAGUUAGUGGCCUGCAAAAAUUUUGAACUCGAACAAACUAUAGCCAGCUUGAUUCAUUCGUUUGAGUUAAAUGAAAUGUACGAAACAAAUUUUAAAAAUGAACAAACAUUUUGGUUCAACCCAAAAUUAUAAUUUAAUUAUCUAAAUUUGUGAAAGAUUAAUGACUUUUGACUCUGUCGUUAGAGUUGGUGAAAUGCAAUUACUAGAAAUUGAAUGCACAUCAAUACAAGAAUGAACCACAUGCAUGAUCAGAUGGCCGAUUAAUUAUUCUUUCAUUUUUAUCAAUUUAAUUAGUCUCGUAAUAAAUUAGGCUAGCUAGCAUCGUAACCUUUGAAUAUACUUAACACUGUAUAUUAUUGAUAAGGUUACAUUUUUAUGACCAUAUGAUAAUGAUAUUGGGCAUACAAAUUAAAGAGUACAUAAUAAGUCAUGAUAAAGCAGAUGGUCACACAAUUAAGAUUAUACUAUCAAUAAAGCGUAGAUUUAGCUAGGGUUGAGUAUGUAAAUGGAUUGCUAAUAUCGCUAUGAAAUUAGUAGAAAAAGAUUAUGAGAGAUUUUAAAAAAUGGAGGCGACAAGAGAUUUUGGAAAUAAAUUAUUCAAGACAUCCUGCCAUUUUGAAAGCAACAAUUCAAUAACAUAGGCCAGAUGCUCUUUUUUAUUUAUUUAAGUGUCUGCUUUGAAUUUGGAGCAUCGAAAUGGCGUGCAAAUCGUCUUUUACCAAUAAGGAUGCGUUUUCUUUGGUUGUAAAUUUAUCAUGGGAAAAAGAAGGAAAAAUAAAAUUUCACCCUUUAAAUCAAUCAUUUUUNUUCUCAUAUUUUUUAUUUGACCCUUACUCAUUCCUCAUUUACACUAUAAAGAAGAGAUAAUAUCCUUUAAAAAUAGUGUGAUAAUAUUAUCUCUCCUUUGUAGUAUAAAUGAGGAACAAAUAAGGGUCAAGUAGGAAAUAUCAUAUGGGAAAAGAAAGGAAGGAUUUAAAGGGUGAAAUUUUGUUUAUCUUUUAUUUUCUCAUGAUAAAUUUACAACCAAAGAGAACACAUCUAAUGGUAACAAUCUUAUUCACUCAUUUAAUUUUAAAUUCGUCGGAACACUGCACAAGUAUUAGGUUGAGUAUGCAAUCAAAUAUUUCUAAAUUGGAUAAUUAGUAAAACAAGAAUUUCCAAAGAUAUACUAUAUUAUCCAUGACCCUAACAAAUUUAGGAAUUUGAAAGUUAUUUUUUGAGUUUGAUUCUAAUGCUAUAUUUUGUAUAAUCCCCUUGUAUAAGAAUGACGAAUGUGCAAAAUCCCCCCUCCGCCCAAAAGCCGCCGAACCAACCUACGAAAAUAUCCGGAUAAAUUGGGUUUUGUCGUUUUGUGGAGAUUUUCCCAAAUCAAAAUUAUGAUCAUAGUUAAAUACUGAACUGACCUAUCAAAGAUUAUAAUUGUAACAAUUAAAUCAUUAAAUUGACCAAACCUAAAUGAUACACUAUAAAUAUAAUUUAUGAACAUCCUGAUUUUUUUUAAAAAUUAAAUUAAAUGUGUAUGGACCACAUGAAGUUCUCAUGCGUCCCAUCCCAUUCAUGGCAUGAUCGAAGCUUGAAUGCUAGCUGCUGACACAAACCUAACACUAACACUAUUUGAGAUUUGCUAUCAUUUUUACUACUAGUGAGUAGUGAAUUGAUCCAAAUCCAUAAAACUAUGAGUCGGCGGCGAUGCCAAUGGUUUUUAUCCUGUGAUAAUGCGGUGUAUGUAGGUAAAUACGCUCUACCUGAAUACACACGUGUUGAAUAUGUAGCUGCAUGAAUAUUGAAUGCUCUAGCUUCUUCUCUUAUUAUUUUUUUUUUGGUUUUUACCGUAAAGUGGAAGAGAAUAGCGAUAGGGAGUGGGAGCGGCAAAAACUGCCGCUGCGAGCGACCACAAGCAAUCGACAGGUGUUUGGGCCCUCUCUUCUCUUGAAUUAGACGUGGAUGCUGAAUAGUCAGUCAUCCCCUCCUUCCUUCCAAGUCCAAUUGGAUUCCACUUCCUUUCCUUGCUAAUUAGAUAACUUUAUCCCAUUCCCAGAUUCGCUUUCCUCCACAAAUAUCUCUCAAUGCCGCUUCAUUUCCAGACCUAAUUUUUGUGUUCAAUGGGGAGGAGGAAGCUCGAGAUUAAGCGAAUCGAAGAUAAGAGCUCGCGCCAGGUUACCUUCUCCAAGCGCCGCAAUGGAUUGCUCAAGAAAGCUAAAGAGCUAUCGGUGCUCUGCGAUCUGGAUAUCGGCGCCGUAAUCUAUUCCUGCCGGGGCAAGCUCUACCCCUACUGCAGCACCAACAGGUUAUUUUUUUUUUAAUUAAAUUCCCAUUGCAAUCUAAGCUUAGGUUAAUUUCUCUCUCGAGUGAUCACGUCAGUGGGUGGCCCAAGUUGUUGAUUUCCAAAAAUAGAAGUCUCGGAGCUUAAUUUAGCAUAAAUGUGUCGCCUUCCAAUUUCCAUCCCUUUCUUCCCCUAAAAUUAAACCUCGUGCUACGUCGUAUCGUUCAUUCUUCUGCUCCAAUUUAUCCAUCACUAUCAGGGACGGACCUAGGAAUUUAAUAAUGACCGCACGAGAUUUCACCGGAUGAUUUUAAUAAAAUUUUAGUAAAGAAAACGUAUUGAAUCUUGAAAUAAUUAUUUGAAAUUACAUAAUCAUGACCGGACCGGACGAGAUUAACAUACAUAGAUAAAAAAAAAAAUUAAAUAUAUAUAUAUAUAUAUAUAUAUAUAGAUAAUAAAAAAAAAUGACCGGGCGACGACCAAGAGUGCCUGGCCUUUAGAUCCGUCCCGCAUUUGAGUUUUUAAGAUUUUUUCACGACUAGAGAAUUCCCAUUGAUUUCCUCUUAGGGUGCGAUCUCUUUGAUUGUAAAUUUAUCAUGGGAAAUGGAAGGAUAAACAAAAUUUAACCCUUUAAAUUCUUUCUUUCUUUUUCCACAUUUUCUACUUGAUCCCUACUCAUUUACACUACAAAUGAGAGAUAAUAUUAUCACACCAUUUUUGGAGGGAUAAUAUUAUCCCUCUUUUGUAGUGUAAAUGAGGAUUGAGUAAGGGUCAAGUAGGAAAUGUGGGAAAAGAAAUGAAGGAUUUAAAUGGUGAAAUUUUGUUUAGCCCUCAUUUUCUCAUGAUAAAUUUACAACCAAAGAGAACGCACCCUUACUAUUUUAAUCAAUGUAUUAAUUGAUUAAUGCCGGCUUUAACGAUUGAGAAGUAACAUGCAUUUGACUGCUGCUUACUGGAAUUUGAAUCCAGCUACUUUGUUUUGUUUGCAAGUGCUACUUCGAAUUGAUUAGUCUUUCAUGUAGUUGGACUUUUGUUCUUUCAUGUAGUUGGACUUUUGUUAUACAGCAGACAAAUUAACGCGACUCCAUUUGAGAAGGCUGCGUGUGAUAAUAUAGACAGCAACGUUUUCAGCUGCAGUUUUUCUUUCGUCUUCAUUCUACACUCCUGUAUGUAUGUGCAUGUCAAUAAUAUCAUAUCUCAACUCUUGUUUGCUGCUUGUAAGUUAAUCAAAGACCAUGCGUCAAUCAAAAUAUAACAAGCUUAAUUACUUAGACUGGAGGCCUAUAUAUACUAAUGUAGUGCAAGAAAACGCACAAAAUGUAGCCCUUAUAAGUUUCCACCAACCAACCUUCCAACUUUCAGUUUUCUUGCCAAUGAGUAGCUCUUAGUAUUAAUAAAUACAUGCAUAUAUACAUAUGUGUUAUGUUAAACAUUGUUAAAGCAUGCAUUUUUAUUAUCAAUGAUGUAGUUUCUAUUUACAUAGUCUUUUCUUUGUGGUUGUUAUUACAUGCAUCUUUUGUUUGUUUUCAUUCAAGUUUUACUUUUGCGCAAAUUAAGAUGAUGAUUUUAUUUUAAUAUAUUGGUAUUUCUUUCUAUGUAUUACCUGCAGUUUUGUUUGCUUCAAGUAUUAUUCUCAACUAAAAGUCAUGAUUUUAUUUUAAAAUAUUUGUUUACAUCAUAUUGGCACAUUAUUUACAGUUAAUUGCCAAAUAACACAUGGCUUUUCUACUAAUUUUGCAAUUUUAAAAGCGAUCUUUGAGACCUUUCAAUAAGGACUUAAGAUUUCGACUUGUAGCAAAUUCAUUACUCCUAGUUUUCCCAACAAACAAAAGGUUGAUGUGGCACAAGAAUUUCGUUUUUUGAUGACGUGGAAAGUUUUUUCUACCUCAUGAUAAAUGAUGUCAUUUUGUUCAUAAACACAAAAAUAAAUAAAACUAAAAAUAAAAAUUUAUAUUUGUUUCUUUCUCUCUACACCUAAAAGUUGUACUCCUUUGAAUCCAUAAAAUCAUCGUUUAACGCCUGUUAACAUCUACAAGUGGUCUUUGGCUUUGCGAUCGCCACAUCGAAAGGGACGGUAAAUGGGGAUAUCAAUCCAAUUUGAAACCAAUAGGUUUUUCCAGAUAGUCCUAAAAGAGGAGGGUUGAAGGCCAAAAUUUUCUAGCUUGAAAAUAAUUCAGUCAGAUUUGUCCGCAAUUACCCGACAUUCGCAACUCAGAAUUCAUGUAGGUUGGCCCUAGGGAUGUCAUCCGGUUCGAAACCGAGGAAAUGGCCCAAUAAUAGAAUGAGUUAGGCUUGAUUGACAUCCCUAAUGGUAAAUCUAUUGCUUAAUUAGCCAAAACUUUUUAAUGUACAUCAGCUGGAAGUGGCUGUUUUGGCCAUGAAUGGUAGCGACCUAAAGGGCAAAGCGUGGCUGUUUUGGCCAUGAAUGGUAGCGACCUAAAGGGCAAAGCCACCACCUUACCGAGCAACAAUCGAUCAUUGUAUGGUGAUCACUAUGGAUGUCAGCUUGUCGAAGUGGCAAAAACUUAUGUUACACAUUCGCGGAAUUACUUCGUUUUUGUUUCACAUGAUUUUUUUGAUUGUUGGAAAAAUUGGGAGCGACGAUUUUGCUAUAAAUACAAAAUUUUAGGUCCUUAUGAAACAUAUCAAAGAUUGUGUCAAAAUUGCAAAUCUGUUGAAAAGUUGGCAUAAUUUGUCAAUUAACCUUUGUAUUUAUUCAAACAUAAGUUGAAAUUAUAGACGAAUAUAGUAGGUUUUGUAAAGUGUAACUUUUUAUGUCACAAUAUUAUGAACAUAUAGUUCUUUUAUUGUAAAAUUGUUAUAAUGUCAUAGCACAUUGUAUCUUUACUAAUGUAAUUUUAUGAUAAAUAGUUGAUCUCUUGUAUAUUAACUCCAUCAUGACUACUAUACAUUAUGCAUGGAGAUGAUUGAUCAACACAAUGUCUAUGUCAAAUAUGUGUUGAACAUCCAAACUCUAAAAUAUUGUAUAGAUUCAUUGUACUUUAACUCCUUACCGCUAGUAAAAAAGCAUGAUGUAUAUUUUCUCAAGUCAAGCUCAUUUAGUGAAACUCAUUAACUAAAUAAGUAGCUCAAGCUUGAUAUCACUUGAUUAACUAACUCGUGAGCAAGUUCAUUAUUCUAAUUAGAUGGGAAAAAAUUAUUUACUUGGUAUGGCUUGUUUACUUGUAUUUUAAUUUGUAAUAAUAAUAAAUUCUAGUAUGUUUCUUGAUUCUAAUUAAAUGAUAAAUUCAAGUAAGAAUAUUAUAUAUCUUUUCUAGGUUAUUCAUAUUUGAAUUUAAAUUUAACUUUAGAAAGCUUGUUUAGGCUUAAUUUAUCUUGUCUCAAAGUGUCCGGUAAAUAAAGCUCGACUUGAUAAUAAAAUAUAAAGAAUCCAUAGCUUUUUUGCAUUAAAUAAGUGAGCCAUUUUUCUAAAAAUUGAUACAACAUAACUACAAAAGAGAGAAAAUUUUAGCUUCUGAAUGAGAAAUUUAGGAUGACAAUAGAGAUUAAUUCCAAAAAUUUGACAUAGGGCUUUGUGAGAUGGCAUACACAAUAUCUUUUUACAGAUUUCAUAACUUUCUCUUAAACAACAAAUAAUCAAGCGAGCAAUAAUCUUCAUACUCACCUCAUUCACCAUUAGGAUCCUCUUGGAAUAUAACUAUUUGAUGGUUUCAAACCCUUCAAGUUGUGGAACUAGCAAUACAACAUGUUGAUAAUAGCAACGCUAUUCAAUGUUCCACUCUAGUUAUUUUCCACAAAAGUGUAACUUGUACAUGAUACCCAAUUAGCAUGCCUCAUAUUAAAAUUUGAUUAGUAUAUUUGAGAUCUUUAUAAUUCAGAGGUAUAUGUAUUUUCUAAUCAGAUAUGGAUGCCUAUCUCUAAAAGUUUGAAUAGGUUUUAGGCAAGCAAGCAAUAAUAUUCACUCACCUCAUUUACAUAUCAUAAAUCUCCCAAACAUUAGGAUCCUCAGUAUAUAACUCUCUAUUGGUUUCAUAACGUUAAAAAGUUCUGGAAUUAGCAACAUAAUAUGAUGAUUACUACUACUUUAUUCGAAGUUCUAUUCCUCUGCUUCAUACAAAGGGGGAACUUGCCGAUUAGCAUGUCUCCAAUACAUUAUAAUUUGGAGUUAUAGAAACUAUUAUUUAACCAGAUAUGGCUGCAUAUGUCAAAAAACUUGAAUGAGUGUCACGUUAUGUGUACAAUGCUCCCCUUCUCUUUCAACUUUUGACAUUAGAUGCUUCACAAUCAACUCCAGUAAUUUUCUUAUGGCAACAAAUGCAUAAAAUGACCUUAUCUUUAUUGAAACUUCCAGGGAACCUUGAAUAAGUUUGUUCUUCAACUAUUUAGUUGAACUAGUUGUAGUCAUGCUAAAAUUUCUUAUGAAAUAGGUGAUACAAUAAUGUCAAACCAUUGAUGUAAGGUUUUUAGGGUAGCAUUAUUGGUUUUAUCUUUUUCAAUCACAAUGCCUCAUUGUGAUCUAUUGAGGCAUAGCAAAUACAUGAGAAUAUUAUCGUAAUAAACAAUUAUCUUGAAUAGGACUUUCAUUUUUAGAAUGAAUGGCUCACCAAGCCUUUGACAUAGGUUUGCUCCUUUUUUGAAGCCAUUUAGCCUUCAUCCCCCGAUUUAAUUUGAAUACUAUAAUUUAAAAAUAAUUUUUGGAAAUGUUUUGGCUCCCACGAGCAAGUCCACUAUCUUUAACACUAAUAAGUUGAAAUCGCCUAUUCUAAUACUUGAUGACAGUUCAUUUAACACUAAUAAGUAAGUACAACUUAAUAACCUAACCAUUUCUGAUGCGACAUUUGUGUAAGAAGUCUAUGUUUAUUGUUUAAGCUCUUCAUGUUAACUUGGACCCUUUCAGUAUUGACGUUUCUUUGGUACAAUGACCUUCGGGAACAAAUUGAUCUUGUGUUUGCUAUGGAAAAGUCCAUGAAGUAACUUUUUAGGAGUUAUGGUAUGACCCCCAAUUUAUAGAAAUAUGAGAGGCAAAUGUUGAUGAGUUAUUCAUAAUAAAAUCUCAAAUCUAAUAAGCACAACCGAAGCUAGUUACAUAAUCUCAAUUUGAGUCUUUCACUUUGGAAACACUCAAAAUCCUCGGUGACACUAGACCAUCAUCAUGCGUCCCGCCACUCAUUGCAUGGGUUCGUUGUUGAAAAAGAAAUGUGGUGUUAUGCAUUUACUUCAAUUAUAACAAAUAAGCAAUAAUAAUGUCAUAUCAUAGGUAUCAUACGGCUCGGAGACUAGGAUCAUAUCAUGAGCUUGUAAACUCAUGUUUAGCUUGUAUAGUUGUAUGAUAAAUUUAAUUUUCACAAUAUAAAGAAUUGUCAUCUCGACUUGCUUGAUUUAACUCAAAAUUGCAAGUAAAUAGUAGAAUUUGGUGUAGGAUAGAGUUCUUGGGUCAAAAUUUUCUAUUUAAGCUUAGGUCAUUGGGGUUAGGAUGUACUAUCUCAGUUCAAUCGUAAUUUGUGCAUGAAUAAAAAUAUAACAUAAUCGAAAAUUGAUUCUUUAAAAGCAAUUAUAACAAUAUUUUUUAUACAAUGAAGAGAGAUUAAGAUAAAUGAAGAACGAUUAGCAGUCAAGUUUUCAAUUGAAUGACAAUGAAAACGUAGAGAAAGCAUAGGACCCUCAUUCCGUUUCCUCCUCCUCUAGUACACUUGUAGCUCCACAUAAGCCUUAUUUUCCGCCCUAGCAUAAGUUCUUCGCGGUUAAGUUGGAAUCUUUUACACUUUGAAUGCCAUCAACAAUAAAUAGCAAUUAAUUAGACCAUAGACAUGUGUGCCGUCAUAAGAUGUAUGAAGAGCUUAUAAGUUGUCAAAGUGAUUGGAUAUUCAAGCUUAUAAGUUAGAAAGAGAUAAUCGUAGUUAGAGAGAGAAAAUUUAUGGGAAAUGAAAUUGAAAGGCUAUGUGUUGAAAAUAACAAACCAUAGUAAAGUUACAGUUGUAAAUUGAUUGUUUCUUAUAAGAUCAUGAAAAAAUAUGGUGGAAUUGUGAAAAUUAGAUGAUCAUUUUUAACAAAGGUAUUGUUGUAAUCCGGUAAAAUCCAUGAAGAAUUUAAAAAGCGGUGAACUUAAUCCCAUGAACAAUACUCCUUCCAUCAAAAGGGCGAUUUUGCCAAACACUCUUAAAUAGCUUAUAAGUUGUUUUAAGCAGCUUAUGAGCUCAGCCAAACACCCUUUUUAGUUGUGCCUUUCUUGAGCUAUUCUUCUCAAUUUUCACGUACCCCUUCUCGGGCACCUUUGAUCUUUUGUGACCAACUCGAGUAUGUGGCUUGGUCCAAGUUACGUAGUUCCAACGCCGAAAAGUCAUUGUGUUCCUGCCGUCGCCUUUGCUUGCUUCAUGAAUCUCACCAACACAUUAUCCUUCUCAUCCAACUUUCCGAACACUUCAACUCACCAACACCUUUGCUUGGUCCUCUCCUAUUCCUAAGGAGACCUUGGCGAUUCCAUUUAACACUACCAUGUCUUUCUCCUCCUCUAACCCUAUUAUGGGUCUUGGGGACAGCUUCCCUUCCCCCAGUGAGGGCAGCGGAGGAACGGAUGCAGUGUUGGUGGCAUUAGAAAGAGUUGGCAGCGGUUUUGGUGAAGAAGCAAGAAAGAUUGGAUGAGAAAUUAGAGAGAGAGAUAGUGAAGUCGCGCGGUUAGGGUUCAAGUCUAAACCUUGACAUUUUUGGGUGAGUCGUAUAUAUAUAAUUCAAUGGCACCGCCAUAUCCACCAUCACAGCCGCCAUACAGAAAAACUGCAUGCCAUGGGGUGGUGCCGUGGUGGUGGUGGCGGAAUCCUCAAAAACCGCCACCACCAUGGUGGAAACUUAACGACAUUGAUGUAUAUUUUCAACUUGGAAAACUAAAUAAAUGAAUUAUGCAUUAGAAAUAUAUACUAGAGUGAGGUUGGUAAUUUUAUACUAAAAGGAAUCCCUUUGACAUUUAUGAAAGGUGUCAUCAGAUCUCUCUAGGAUAAAAACCGAGGGUGUAUAGAGAAAAGAUCUUAUUAGCUCUUUCUAACUUCUUAACUUUAAGGUUAUAGAAUGUUAUAAUAAUAGAAUACACAAAUGAUCACAAGUUGUUAACUAAUAAAGCAUCACAAUCAAAAGCAUCUUUCAUCUAUGUUCUUUACGGGAGGGGACCCCAGUUGAACCACUUGAAAGAUCUUUUUAAGAUAAAUUCAUUAAUAUAGUUGGAUGAGAAAUGUAGAGAACAAAAAACAUAGUAUAUGAUAUUUUGUCCAAAAAAAAGAGAUAUAUUCAUAGAAAUUGUAGAGUGAGAUUACAAACCUUAACCUCCCUCUCUCUUUAUCUUGAACACGACAAGCUAGCGACAUCAGCAGCAAAGACAGUUUAUCUACUUAGGUUGAUGUGAUACAGUUUAUCUUUAUGCCCCUUUUGAAUCUUUGAAAUGUAUAAUUUUACAGGCUGAAGCUGAACAGAUGCUUUUAAAUGAUUUGAGAAUCCGUUAUACUUAUUCUACAAGGAUGAUUUGGGCAAAAUAAAACAAUAGAAAAAGAAAAGGAAACUGAUGUAUUGUGUAUUUACCAGAAGGGGGAAUGCACGUCAAUAUUCCUCUGGAGGGGCGUUAAAUGUUGACAUUCGUGGAGAUUGUACAAAUCAGGUCCUGUCCUAUUCUUGGAGGUUUAGAUUGAAGACCUUUCCUCAGUUAGUAGACUUGCUAGUAGAUUAAUCUUCUAUACCUAGAGCUAUAUAGGUAGGCUAAACAAUGUAUUAAUUUGGUGAGAAUUUCUGCACUGGAAGUUAACUAAAAUAGUGAAUAGUUCACUUCCAAUGAAGGUGUCAAACCAGUUUACAUGGUGAUCAAAUUUCUAGCAUGAUUUAAUUUUAAGAUUUUUGCAGGGCCCAUCUAUGCUAUAGUUGCACCUAUAUAUGUAUGAUGUAUCUAUACAGAAGUUCGCAUUUAGCGACUAUAGGCCAGAAGAUAAGAACAAGUGGCAAGACAUGCCCCAGUUGUGGUAGCUUUUCUUUGUUUUUUUAUCCCUCCACUUGGUUACAUCUUACAAUCCGUUACUGAUGAUUGUGAUGUAUGAAAAAUUCUAAUGUGGAGUCUCUUGCUAUAUAGAUUGGAAUUGGUGAUUAUCUAUUUAAGCAAUUUUUAUCACCAUAUCUUGACUCAUACCUCAAAAUAUUUGAAGCUAAUAUAAUAUUAUAAUGAGAUUUUUGCUGCUGAUAUGCUUGUGUUAAAGAUGUAUAAUAUCCUCUAGAGACUGGUGCUAGCUAGCUAGCACAUGUGCGUGCAUUAUCUUCCUUUUUAUAUUUAUCAUUCACUUCAAACUAUCUAAAAUGUUUAUUGUAUGAUUUACAAAACUUCAUUACUUUGUAUGAUGAAAGAUUUCCUACUUGAAAAGUCUUAUGCUUGAGUCGGCAAGAAUGUCUGGAUAUUUACCUCGAGAUUAUGCUUUAUUUUUUCAGCCAUUUGCAGUUGUUAUCUUUUAUCAUUCAUGCUAGGCCCAUGGACUUGUGUCUUUUAGUACGUGUCUUCUUUUAUUUGUGAGUGAUAUUCUGACUUAACUGAACUAGAAUUGCUAUCCAGCUUGAGUGAGAUCCUGCAACGAUAUCAUAGUCGGACUGAGACAGAUGCAGGUCCCUCAAGUCAAAGUUGUGAGACACAGGUAAGCGGAUCUGUUUAUGAAAUUAAAGUGGGUUUAAUAAGGCCUCUGUGCAGGUUUGUUUUUAGUAAAAGCCAAAACAUGUCUGAAGGUAUAUAUUCAAGUAUUUAUUCAUCUUACCAUAAUUUGUGGGACAGUUUUUAUAUAAAUAUAAUUUGUGGGACAGUUUUUAUAUAAAUAUAAAUUUGAAAGCAAAUAUAAUAAUAUAUGUAUGGAUGUUUACAUGCGUGUCAAUGUAAGAUGUAGAUGCAAAAUAUAGAUUAUAGUAUUUAACAUAAAUAAAUUUUAAAAUCAAUAGUUUUAUCAUGGACCAUGCAUGCAUGUAGUGAUUUGAUUGGAAGUUAAUUUGAAAUUGGUCUAUAUUUUAGCCUUAGUUGAACAAAAAUUCCAUAAUUUCAUUUGCCAAUAGAUUUCUUUAACACCAAUGUGUGAUUAUGCUUAUGCAUGUUCCAUACUAAUUACUACAUUCUCUUCAUACAAAAUUGUAUAUGUUUAUAGUAAAACGUUGUAUCCAAGUGUAUAACAUAAUAAAUGAAUUUACAUUUUCAAAGAUUUGUGCGUAAAUGUACAUAAAAACUACAUAUAAAUGUAAAGAGCAUAGGGUUAAUAGUAGUUAUGACCUCAACUUUAAUUUAUCCUUUAAUAUCCUGAACUUUGCAAUAUGUUUAAUUUUGUUCUGGGCCGUCGGAUAUCUGACUAGCUCACCCAUAAAUGCAAGAAAAAAANAAGAUAUGAUACGAUUAACACGUUUUACAGAUGAGCCUAGUUUGAUAUCCGACGACUGAUAUUUUUGCUGGGAGGCAAAAUUAAACAAAUUUGCAAAGUUCAGGAUAUUUAAAAAAGGGAUUAUAGCAAAAAAAUACACGAACUUUGAUAAAAGUUGCAAUUUUCACCUGAACUUUCAAAUUAGCCAAAAUAUACCUGAACUUAUAUUUUUUGUUGUAAAUUUCACCUGAACUUGCAAUGAUUGAACUCCGUCGAGGUGAAAUUUACAACAAAAAAUAUAAGUUCAGGUAUAUUUUGUCUAAUUUGAAAGUUCAGGUGAAAAUUGCAACUUUUAUCAAAGUUCGUGUAUUUUUUGGCUAUAAUCCCUUUAAAAAAUAAGUUAAAGUUGGGGUCAUAAUUAACUACUGUUAACCCUAUAACAUAUGCUUAGUUGUUUGAUAUAUUUUUUGUAAGUUCAUAAGCAUUACAUUAUUUAUGAUUGUAAUCAUUAUUUUUAUGAAGAUUGUAUGUAGGGGUGGUUUUUUCUAGCUUGUACAUUUUUAGACAUAUAUAUCUAUAGUCCAAAUUGUGUGACUUAUUUAGCAGACACUCGGUUUGAGUUAUUUUUCAAAUUUUGCUUCUCAACUAUUUUUCCUAUAAUUUAGCACUAGUCUCUAGAACAGCACCUAGUAAGAAUAUUUGUGAUACUUCAAAUAUUUGAGUAUCCAUAUAAUUAUAAAGAAAAUGGGUUUUAGAUAGUGAUUGAAUCAUAACUGAAAACAGGGAUCAUAGUCCUAAAUUAAUUGUAUGUGUAUAUUAUGAAGGUCAUUGGUUGUGUUUCCAUGUCAGGCUAAAUAUUCGCGUUUCCUGACAUGUGAGGAGCUCCUACAAGUAGUAGAAAGGCAGCCACUUCAUCCCUCCCUCUCCCUCCCCUUACACUUUACUUUGUUAAGUUGGCAGUCAUGACUACAACAGCUCUUUCUAUUUAAUUCUGCAGGGAGCUUGAGGAGCCAUCCGCCGACGACCUCAGUGUCGCCGACUUUAUACAUCUUGAGAAACAAUUUGAGACUGCACUAAUACAGGCCAGAGCAACUAAGGUAACUGAACUUUCAUUCUUAAUAUGAAGUGAUAAUGAGUUAUGCUGCUUACCAGCCAACUGUUUUGUCGUAUCGGCAUGCCUUUGUGUUAAAAGUUAUGCCCAUUUGCAGUCCAAGCAGAUGAUUCCGUUGAUUCUCAAACCUAGGAAGGAGCUCAGGCAAAAUUAUACUACAAGAUGAGAAAUGCUUGUUUGGUCUUCUAAUAAAAAAUAAAAAUAUAUAUAUGCACUAGGAAGGAGCUUGUGUAUAUAUAUAUAUCUCCUGACUGACCACAUAUUAUCAAAUGCAUAAUCUGGAUUGAGUUGAGCGACCUAUUAUACGUACAUAUGUAUCAAUUUUACAAUUUUCUUAUGCUUAACUUCCAUUAAUAGUUGGUAGAUUGAUUCUUAUUUGAUUGCCGAGUUUGUUGCUUAUGCAGACACAAUUGCUUCUGAAGUCUAUAUCAAGCCUCGAGGGAAAGGUAAACAUUUGCAUCUUGUAUUUUUGGUGAAGACUGCUAAGCCAUGAACCAUGCAAAUGAGUUAUAUAUAUUCACAACGGGUUUAAACAUAAGGAGAGGAAUUAAAGAGAUGCUGUGUAUUACAAAAGUGGAAAAGUUAAGGAGUCACCUUAUUUAUACCUUGAUUUUGAACAGGAAAAGCUGUUAGAGGAAGAGAAGAUGUUGUUGAAGGGGAAGGUAUAUUUGUAGACUUGGAUAUACAAUACAACUGAAGUAAUGAUGUUUAGUUAGUAACUCACUGAUUAAGAACAGAUUGGUGGGAGCAAGACGAAAAUACCGGUGAUCGAUCUCAACGCCCUUCCUUCCGAGGAGUGAAUGGCUGAAUACUAGCUCAAGCUCUCAGAAUAAUAAGUGGCAAGAAACACAUUCACAGCUCAGUUUUUACAUUCUGAAAGCCCGAGCAAAUCACACAUUCUCUCACCUUCUUGACGAAACCGGAUGCAUAUAUAUAUUGGUGGUUCAGCAUGGAAAUAAACAAGAAGAAAGCAACAUCCAUGGCAAAAAGAAAAGAGAUGAGACGUGGCGGAAUGUGAUUGGGGAGAAUCCACCUUUCAUCAAAGACUAAUGCGUCUCCACUUGUAUUUGUAUCAUAUUCAUAUAUAUACGCUCAAGAGAGAUGCUGCGAUUUAUUUAAAUCUUAAUUAAUACCUGAAUAAAUACUCGUAUAGACAGUCGACGGUAGGGAAAGUAGAAGAAAGACGUGGUGGAAUGUGAGUGCUACAAUAUUAAUUAGGCUGCCCACUUUGUUUUUUAACAACAUAACUUUAAUGGAAUCGCAUCUACGUCGACGAUACGUUCACUUCUCUGCACCCAUAGCUUAAUCGAAUAGAUUAUAGAGCCAAAUGUGCCACGUCUACACGUCGUCUCCUCCCAAUAAUUCAUAUGCAUGUAAAAUAAUUUAAAUAUUGCCUUACUCCUCAAAUCUGAAUAAGAAUAUUAAUGUAUAUGAAAAGAAGGAAAAGCAUAAUCAUUUCAUGAUGUGAUUGGCCAGAAUUCCUGAUCAACUUAUGUAUACUUUCAUUUCAUUUCAUAAUCAUAUAACAAUGUUAAUUACCAUGGCAUGCAUAUUAGUAAGCUUGCCUCCUAUACAUAAAUUUAAUAACAAAACUUUGAAUUUGAAUCCGAAUUGCAUAUUGAUGGAUCAAUCUUAAAAUUCAUGUACAAUUUCGUAUAUGACUUUACUUAUAUAGUUCGUAUACUUACAUGUUAAUAAUCUUAUAAAUUUCUGCCACCACCUCUUAUUUUUGAAAUUAAUUAUUUACCCUAAAUUAUACAGUAAUUUAUCUGACAUCCUGCCAUUUUGAAAGCAACGAUUCAAUCGUAGAGAUCAUAUGCUUUAUUUAUUGUCCGCUUUGAAUUUUGGAGCAUCGAAAUGACUAAUUAUUUUCAAGUCGUCUAUAUCAAUAAUAUAUAUAUUAUUCACUCAUUUAUAUAAAAAAAUUCAAUAAUAGGUUGAGUAUAAAUUAAAUAUUUUGAAAAUCGGGGUGUGUGCAUUACUUGAGUUGCUGCACCACUUGUAGAGUUGUAGUAGCAAAACCUGUUUAUGGCUCCAAUUCCGACGAUAUAAAUAUAUAUAUAUAUAUAUAUAUAUAUAUAUAUUUAUUUUAUAUUAUUUAUGUAUUUUAAUGUUUGUAUUAUAUUUUACUUCAAUAAAAUUUAUAUAAUUACAUGAAUAAAGUAAUUUUUUUAAAUAAUAAAAUAUAAUUAUGAUGAAACGAUUUAAGAUUCAAAUGCACAUAUUAUUGAAAAGCAAAUUGGUACAACACACAACUAAAAUUGAAAAUAUAAAUAAAAAUAAUAAUAAGUAAACGGUUGUUAAGUGGACGUUAGGUCUAAGGGUGUAAUUGUUCAAAAUUAAUUACGAUAGGGGUUUAUUUGAUACCCCUUUGCCAUAGAGUCGGCAAUGUAAUAAGGGUUUUCACGUUAAGGGCUUAUUUGAUACUUAACCCUUUUAUAAAAAAUGAAACUCUUAUUUCACUUUAAUCUAUAAUUUAUAAUCUAUAAUAUAUUAAGGACAAUUUUGUAAAUUAUGCUCCUAUAUUCCUCCCUAAAGCUUCCCUAUUUAGAGAAAAAUUAAAGUCAUAAGAGCACUCCCAGCAGAUCACCUAAAUGCAUCACUAACUCUAAAUUUAGGUCAAAACAAUUGAAAAUGAGAUAAAAAAAAUGCAUCCAGUAAAUCCCCUAAAUUAUGCUCCUAUAUUCCUCCCUAAAGCUUUUCUAUUUAAUUUUAGGAUCUCGAUUUUAUAAAUGCAUACACCAGAUCUUCUAUUUUCUACAUAAAAACAAUAAUUAUGUGUGGGCCCUACUAAUUAUAAGCUUAAAAUAAGUUUAGGGUGGGUGUAAAUUUAAGAUUGAAUUUAGGUAGGUGUAAAAUUUUUUGUGGGCCCAUCCAAGUUGGGGGAUCUGCUGGAUGCAUUUUUAAUCUCAUUUUCAAUUGUUUUAGCCUAAAUUUAGAAUUAGGUGCUCUAAGUUAUGCAAAACUCAAAUUAAUACACUAACAAAAUCAACCGUCAAUAUCGUGUAUUAUGUAAAAAAAAGUUGCUCAUUAAUAGCCCAAAUAACUAACAUUAUUUUUUCUAGGGAUCACCACUAAUACUUCAUUACAUACUUCCAUGUAAAUAUAUUUAAAAGGUCAAAAUUGUUAAAUGUAAAAUGGGUAAAUUUUUGAUAGAUUUAUCAGGUGGUUUGAAAUAUUACAUGAGUACUUCCUAUUGAAAUUUAAAAAUUAAAAACCCAGACAAGUGCAAGUGAAGCACACCACCUAUUCAUCAAAAUGCAGCAGAGACGCACACAAGUGCAAGUGACGCCGGAAGAGAGGGCCAACCCCACACCAUCCCGCCAGCAGCAAGAUCCCUAAAAUAACCAACUGUUUGAUUAAAGUCCCAAUAGCAACCAUUGCGAAAUCUAAAAUAACUGAGCCACAUAGCACCAAAGAUCCAAAGGACCAGACGCCCAACAUAAUAACCAAAUAUUUGUCUUAUUGAAAUUAGUCUAGGGCUCGAUGCUACCGAUCACAAGAAGAGAGAAGAAAAUUCAGUAUUCCUUAAUAAUUCGUUUAGAUUCAUCCGUGAGCCCACGGACAUUCCGAACGAGCACAUUUAUCAGAUUAUACAUUAUGUUUUUAAAUGAUUUUUAUAAAAAAAUAAUUAAUUAAAAAAUAGUAAAAAAAAAAAAUUAAUUAUUUAAAGGGCUGUGCAUUGCACGCGCCCUUCAAAAAUGCCGUCCGCACUUGGUGCGGAGAAGAGAAGCUGGCGCGGUACAAAGAUAAAUCUUUUUUUAGAUAUGGAAAUUGAUUAAAAAUUAAAAAAAAUGAAUGAAAAUUGAGGAAAAUCAGAAUAGGGUGAUAUGAAUGAGAAUUGAGAAAAAUAUACGAUGCCACGUAGGAUAAGAUUUGUUUUGCUAUAAUAUAUAGAUGGGGUUGAUUCUAAUCUUUUGAUUUAUUUAUUUCAAGGUCGCAAUAAAUGUGAAUUUCUGACAUCCGAGAAGUUGGGGUUCUGCAUUUACAUGCUUAUUGAAGGUUAGGUAUAGCUACUAACUACAAUCAAUGAGUUGAGUAUAUUAGGUGUAGCUACUACUAAGAUGUUGACACGUUGCAAAUGAGAAAAACCUAGCAUGGACUUUACCGAAAUUGUUAUACAGAAAUCCAUUAUCUGUCUCCUAGGGCACGAAUGUAGACGCCUACUAAUGUUUAUACCCAAACAACACACAUAUCAACUACAGCCAUCCUAUAUUCAUAAAAAAUUCGAAAAAAAUGGUGCAGUUCUAUGGAGUGAUUCAGUUAAUAUGCACGUUUCGUCCAUCUAGAUUAGACUUUAAGCUAAAUUAUUAUUGGCAUCUAAAAAUUAAUGACUUAGAUUCUGGUAUUUUUAUUUUGUUAAUAUAUUUUUCUUAGGCUUUUGCUGUAUCCGGUGAAACCUGGGGUAUUGUGAAGAAUAUUGACUCUUAAUUUGUAAGUACAAUAAUAGUUAAUGACUUAGAUUAUUGUGUUUCGAUUUUUUAUUUUUGGUUUUGCAUAAGUUUUCAAUGAACAAUUGGUGAUAAACAAAUUGUUAAACACACUAUUAAUCUCGUAAUUUUCUUCUCCUUAAUCUCCGUGUCGAAAAGAAACGUGUCAUAAAUAACGGGACAGAAGAAGUAUAUAUCAUGACUUUGAAUUUAUCAACCUAUUAUUAGCUAAUAAUUAAAAGUGAAAUUAAAUGAUAAAAAAUAAUUAUAUACCCUAAAUUGAUGGAAUAAACUCUAGUUAAUAAUCACAAAAUUAAAAUAAAACAUACAAAGUUAAAAUUAAAGAAAAAAUAUAUAAGAAAAUAAACAAAAUUAAAAAUAGAACAUAAAGUGGUACAUCAAGUUGGGGAUCUGUUUUCUCUAUUUCUAAAUUGGUGCGCAUUUCUCUUGUUUUCCUAUGGCUGUACUAGGGCUGUAAACGAGCCGAGCCGAAUACUAGCAGGCUCGAGCUCAGCUCGUUUAAAUAUUUGGGUGUUCGAGCUGGAUUCGAGCUUUUAUCUUGUUGGUCGAACUCCGUUCGUCACCCAUUUACCGAGCUCGGUUUGGAUGAUGCUCGAUAAUGUCAAACUUAAGUUCGAGCUCGACUCGUUAGAUAUUCGUAUAUAUGAUGUUCGAGCACGAAUUCGUUAUAAAUUUAAGAAAAGCUUUUAAAUUAAUAUGUUAUUAGAGCUCAAGCUCGAAUCGUUUAAGGUUCGUGCACUAAUUCGACUGAAGGUUUGUGAACAGGCUCACAAACAUGUUCACGAACAAUAGAAUCCGAACAUGUUCGCGAGCUCAACGAGUCGAGUUAUGUCAGGCUCGAGCUCGAAAUCAAGCUCGAGCUUUGCUCAUUUACUAUCGAAUUGAGCUCCGAAUUAACGAGCUUUUUUUCAAGCCGAAUCUUGAAUAGCUUGCGAGUAGCUCUGUUUAUUUACAGCCCUAGGUGGUACUGUGGUAGUGUUAGGUACGAAUGAAAAUUUAAACUGCUCUGUGAUAGUGUUAGGUAAGAGUGGAAAUUUAAAAUGCUCUAUUGCUUACGUUAUAUAUAAAAAAAUGUCAUCUUUUAUAAAUACAAGUUUCUUAUGCCGUAUUCUUUAAAUACUUCUAAUGUUGAUGGUUUUGCUUGGUUUUUUUGUGAAAGUCUUACACAUUGGACCGAUUUGACAGCUAUCAAUCAUAAAUGUGUAAGAAAAAUUUGAAAAAGAGAACGAUUUGACUGCCCGGGCGGCUAGAUGAUCUAGCCAUCCACCGGUCAGAUGAACUCUUGACUCAUAGCUGUCAUAUCGUAAAAUAGUUGAAAUUGAACAAAAAAUAAUUAAAAACUAAAAGAAAUUGAUCAUAAGACACCAAAAUUGGGAAAGAAGUAGCGUCCCGACGACGACGGUUCACAUGCUAGAAUCACCUCUAUACUGCAUAAUAUGGAUUGUCCCAAGUAGCGUCCCGAUCGUUCACAUGCUAGAAUCACCUGUCUACUGCAUAUAUAUAUAUAUAUAUAUGGACUAUUUUAAGAGCUAUACAAUUUGUAAAAUAGAUAAUAAUUAAUAUUCAACUAUUUUAAAUAUAAUAAAAAGUUUUAUGUUGGUUAUGUUUUGAUUGAUCGAGUAUAUAUUUAUUUAAAAUGUCUGCCAUAUUUUAUUCAUUAGUAUUUAUUAUUGUGACAGAGACAAGCCAUAUGUUAGUUAGUUAGUUAAAAUCGAAUUUAUUAUUAAGAUAGAGAUAAGACAUCUUAAAAUCAAGAAAAACUAAUUAUAAUGUGAAUGAAACGUGUUUUCCUUAGAAAAACUAAUUAAUGAAUAAAGAUUUAAUUCUAAAAAAAAGUACUCAUUCCAUUUACAAAAACUUGUGACAUUGUGAAUGACACGUGUUUUAAUAAAAUGUGAAUGAAAUUAUUAAAUGAGUAAGAUUCUAGUUUAAAUGUGAGUAGAAUCGUGUGAAACAUUUAUAAAUAGGAGCAACAAUUUUUUCGUGGAUGGAGAGAGGAGGGAGUAACUUUUGUACUCCUCCGUCCCACUCCAAUAGUUUAAAUUUUUGUUAUUGCAUUCAUUCAUUAAAAUAAGAUAUCUAUUUAUAAAUUUUUCAUGAUUAAAAGAGUAAGAAUAAUUCUUUAUUCUCAAUUUAAAUAGAAAUUCUUAUUUAAAUUUCAUAUAGGGAGAGAGGCCGUGACAAAUAAAAUUUAAGUGAUGUACGAUAAAAGUUGGAAAAAUGGGAGAAAGAAAUAUAUUGAGAGAGAAAUAUCUAGCUAGGUAGGGUAAUUAAUGUAAAUGCAAAAAGAGAGAUGAGAUGGGCAAAUGGCAAUGGAGUGAAUGGACGAUCUAAGUCCACGAUCAUCAUAUGCCUUCCUCUUGUAGUGUAUGUGUGACAACGACUUAUACAUAAAUGGUCAUUAAAUGCCAAAUUAUUUGCAUAGGUAUGGGUAAAAAAACCUUACCAAUUCAAGGACUGAUAAAGACCUCAACAAUAUACCACGUUUUUCAUAUCUCUCUUUUAAUUCUACUACUUUCUAUAAAAAGAAAUCAUAAUUUUAUAAACAAUCAAUUGAGAUGUAUACAAGUCACUACUGUUAAAUUAAGCAACGACAUGGAUCAUACCGGAAAUUAAUACUAAAAUAAGAACAAUUUUUAGCCUUUAGAUCUUCAAGAUUUAUGAUUGAUUCAUCAUUUUGUUAAAUGAAUUUAAGGUCAUGUGUUCGAAUCUCGUAGAAAGUGAAAAUUUUAAUUUCCGAAAUUCAAACACUUAUACAGUGAAUUCGGACGUGUUUUACAUAAAAUUCAGACGUUUUCGUUAGUUUGUAUUUUAUAUUUUAAGAGGGGUUUAUAGCUUAGCUCAAACCUAUAUACUAGCAUAUAGCAGUGAAGCUUUCAAUAGAAUAUACUAGUGUCUAAACUUAUUCGUUGACCGUGAGUUGAGGUUAUCUAUUUUUUAAGGUUUUAAAGGAUUUUUUUAAUGGUAAGAAGUGUAUACAUGUAUUUUUUUAAUUUAAUACUCAUUACGUCCAUAAAAAAUAAUUCUAGUAAGAAACGACACAAGUUUUAAUAAAAAAUUUAUUGUAUUAUGAAUGGAAAAAAUGUCUCACUUAAAAAUAGUAUUUAUAAUGAUAAUUAAUUAUAUUGUGAGUAGAAAAUAAGGCCCAUUAGGCACUAUGUGAUAGAUAUUUUUCAAAAAUAGAAAGAGAUUAAAUUUUUGUGGACAUUUCAAAAUGACAAAAAUGAACUAUUUUUGUGGACGAUGAGAGUAUUAAAUAAAAAAAUACAUACAACUAAACACAAAAUGAAUGUUAUUGAAUAGAAAAUGAAUAAAAUAAAUAACGGCAUUUUUACUAUAAUACUCCCAUCAUGGUGUGAAAAAAGGAAAGAGAAAAAAGAAAGUGGCAUUUUCCAUAAAAUACAUAUGAAUUGUCCAAUUUUUUAUAUAAAAAAUCACAUAUUGUGCGGUGGAUGAGUGAAGUAUGAGUCCCACUGUAGUAAAUUGUGUUAUGAGGUAAUGUUUAAAAAUGAAAGGCAACAUUUUGUACGGAAGGAAGGACUAAAAGAAAUAACACUAGCCUUAUAUAAAAGAAAUAACACUAACUAAAAUGGGGCACAAGACUCAAUUAUUUUACAAUACGUGCGGAUUGAUAUAAUUAAUUAAUCCUAAAUUGUUAAGGCUGCAGGGGGCGCUUCACAGCGGGGCAUAUCUGGGGGCGGAGGCAACAUCUUCUCAUUGGGGCCUUCCCCGUCCGUAACGAUGAACGCCAUCCUCAUUCCCCAACUGUGAUGACGCUCGAAAUGGCAGUGCAUCAACCACACUCCUGUGCGCGAGAUAAUAUUGCAACUUUAAUUACUUAAUUAGCUAUGAGACUUUUGCUUAACUUUAUAAAGGAAAAGACGAUGAAGCGCCGUCUGUUGGUAAGACGCUUCUCCUCCAACCAAUAGGUCGGGAGUUCGAGUCACCUUAACUUUAUAAAGGAAAAGGAGAUGGGAACUGAACCUGGAUUGUUAGCCUUAAAUCUGAUAGCGCUCCAUCCACUUCUUGGAACGGCAACCGUGUUCACCAACGGCGGGUCAAUGAGAUUAAAGUUUGGCGGAUCCGUGUUCGGGUGGAAGUUCCCGUAUCCAGAUCCGACAACGUAGAAGCUGUAUCCAUGUAAAUGCACGGGAUGAUCGAUUCCAUCGCCAGUCCCAUAGUUGGUGCCUUGAAGCACCAUCUCGACUUCCGAGUUGUAGUCCAACAUGUACACCGCCGUUCCGAAAUGGGCGGGCGCCACAUUCUCCGGCUUAUAACCUUGCGUGAAGUCGAAUAUUAUUGGUGUCAUCGCUGGGAAAUUGGGCGUGAAAACUCCUCUGAUCCCUUUGAAAUACGCCUCGAGAAUAUUUUGGGUUUUGGGCAACAACAUGGUCUCGUUGUUCAUGCUGGCCAGCAGCCUGUAGUCGUGCACGCAAGAAUUUGUGAGACAGUGCCACGUAUUGAUGGAGAGAGUGACGAACAUGUUGUGGGUGAUGUUCAUAGGAACUUCGAUGGGGUAGUUGUCGUCGGCGAGGCUUCUGAGCCUGUUGCUGAAAUGGGUGGACUUGGCCACCCCAUCGUCGAACUCAGGGAAAGAUGGAAGCAGCAGUGAUGAGGGCCGGGUGUAGUUACCGACGUACUCCACGAUUCCUGUGGUGGGGAUGUAAUUAUACCCCACGGGGCCGGCGUAUACUCUGGCGGCCAUGUAAUAACGGCUGGGCGGCUGGUUGGCUUCCAGAAGGAAAUCUAUGGUCUGGCCAGGGGCGAUCGCGAUGUGAUCGGUGUUCAGCGGCUUCGUGUAGGCGCCGGCCGUCCCCACCACCGUCACGUUGUGGUCCUUGAUUUUGAAGUACAUAAUGUAGUUCAUCAUUGCGUUAACCAUUCUGAUCAGGUACGUCUUGCCCGGCUCCACACUCAACUUCAAUGUAUCUGCAUUGCAUCAAACCAAAUUAAUUAGUAAAACUUAUACUGCCUCUGUCCCGGCCAAGACCAUACAUUUGCUUUUCGGCAUAGAAUUUAAGAAGUUGUAGAUUAUGUUUUAAGUGUUUAAUAAUAAAGUGAUAAAGUAUGAGGAAGAAUGUAAUAAAGUGAUAAAGUACAAGAGAGAAGAUAAUAAAGGAAUACUUAAUUAGUGUUAAUUAAGUGUUUAAAAUUCCUUAUUUUUGCCAAAUAUAGAAAUGUAUCACCUUCGUUGGGACGGUCCGAAAAAGAAUAUGUAGCAUCUUGGGCAGGAAUAAGGGAGUAUUUGACUCCUAUUUGUUUGGAUUUUACCUUGUUUUGAGCAGGGAUAGAGGUCUCCAGGUUGACCAUUCAUGAGGAAAGCAUCAGACAAUUUGGCACCGAUUCCUUGGGCUAUAAAAUCCUCGUAAACUUGUUGUAUAUCAUCAUUCCACCACUCUCCUGCAUGCAACAUUUAUUAAUUAUUCCGAAUCUAUAGAAUUCCAACACAAUUAAUUAAUAUUGGUCGAGAAUUUUAAUUAUACCUAGUAAGAUGGGAAGUUGAGCAUGAGGCUUUGGGAAAGGAUAAGUGUGUGUCUUGGGCGGUAGAAUGACGAUGGCGCCAUACACAGUAGCUCGAGUCCAAUCGAUGUGGGCGUGCCAAAACAAAGUGCCUUCUUCGUCGGAGAGCAGAACUCGUUGUCGAAAGCUUUUGCCGGGAGUAAUAGGACACUGCGUGACAGAGUCGACGCCAUCUGUCCAUGGAUAUCUCGGCAUUUUUACUCCAUGCCUGAAAUCGAUCGCCAUAUAUAUAUGCUUAUAUAUGAUGAUAUAUGACCAGUUUCAUGCAAAUGCUUUAAUUUGACGUACCAAUGGAUAGUAAUAUUUGCAUCGGCACGAUUAAUAACAUCGACUAUCACCAAUUCUCCCCUUCUUGCAUAUAUAGUUGGCCCUGGGAACUGCCCGUUUACCGUUAGCAUGCUUUUGGUGGUGCAUAGCCUGGUGUGUGAAGAUCUUCUCACCUGCAAACUUACACUUCCAAUUAGCUACCUUUUCUAUAAAUAAAAAACAAAAUCAUGGGGAACAUACUUCAAACUUAUGAUGAACUAAAGCAUGGACUGGAGCCAUAAUAAUACCAAGGUAGCACAGCAUGAAAACCUUAAGCUUCCGAUAAUAAAACAUUUUUUUAAGUGGUGUGUACCAUGAGGUAGGAGAAUUAAUUUCCUUUUUCUUCUCCGUAUUUAUAAUGUCGAUUCUACCUUUACAUCUCCUCUCAUUUAUUUCUGAAUCAAUGUACGUGAGUACUUAAUUCUUUCACGUGAUUAUUAGUAAUUUGGAAAUACUUGAUCCAACUACAAGAAGAGAUGGUUAAAAAUUUGAUCAAGUGCAUGCAGAAGAGCUAGACAGCUCAUUACAUGACUAUUCUAGUUGUAAUUAUAAAAGUUACUCCGUCCUCUCUCCAUCCACGAAAAAAUUGUCGCUUCUAUUUAUAAAUGUUUCACACGAUUCUAUUCAUAUUUAAACUAGAAUCUUACUCAUUUAUUAAUUUCAUUCACAUUUUAUUAAAACACGUGUCAUUCACAAUGUCACAAGUUUUUGUAAAUGGAAUGAUCGUACUUUUUUUUACAAUUAAAUCUUUAUUCAUUAAUUAGUUUUUCUAAGUAAAACACGUUUCAUUCACAUUAUAAUUAGUUUUUCUUGAUUUUAAUAUGUCUUAUCUCUAUCUUAAUGAUAAAUUCGAUUUUAACUAACAUAUGGCUUGUCUCUGUCACAAUAAUAAAUACUAAUGAAUAAAAUAUGGCAGAAUUCCUGAUACAUUUUAAAAUAAAUACUCCCUCCGUCCGCCAAGAUUAUGGCACAAUUACUAUAUCGGGCGUCCGCCAAGAUUAUGUCACUUUCCUUUUAUGGCAAUGGUCCCACCAUUUACUUUUAUAUUUUAUCUUUAUAAACACUCUUUAUUUACAAAAAAACCACCUUAAAUUCAAUCUCAACCACACAUCUCAUAAAGUGGUGGGACCCUUCCUCCACUACAUCAAAAUCAUCAUCAAUUUUAUUAAAUGUCAUGCCCAAACAAUUUGCCAUAAUUUUGGCGGACGGAGGGAGUAUAUACUCGAUCAAUCAAAACCUAACCAACAUAAAACAUUUUAUUAUAUUUAAAAGGGCAAAGGUGCAGAUUGCCCCCUAAACUACACCCCCUAUAGCUUUUAGACCCCUCAUACUCGGUCAUAGCGCGUUGACCUCCCUGAACUCCCGAAAGAAGGGUGCAAAUAACACCCUCCGCUAAACGGCGCUCAAACGCCGUCCGUUUAAUUUUUUUUUCUUUUAUUUCAAGCGUCAUCUUCUCUCUCUCAUCUGGUAGCCGUCGCGGCUGAGUCCGGCGAGGCCGCGCCCGGCCGUUGGCGUCGCUCCCUUCGUCUGCUCCUAUCUCCUCCUUCACCCCUCUCAAUUUCUCAAUUCCAGGUACACUCUACUUGUAAAACCGAGCUUUAAUCGAGCCCCAACCAUGCCCUUCUUUUCUUCCAGUUUCCGGCAUCCAUGGCUGCUCAUCCAUCUUUUUCUGAAAUUCUCCGGCACCUAAUUCAUCUCGGUCCGUUCUUCAUUUCCCCUGUAAAGGAAACCCAAAUCCCCACAAAUAAGACCUCCACAAAAAAAAAAAACUUACAUCUUCUCCAAAAUCAGAAUGUAUUCCUCCCUAAAUCUCCAAGAUCCAUAUCCAUCUCCCAAGGCAUAACACCACCUUCCUUAUCUGAAGUCUGCGCCAUCUCGCCACGCCGUUGACUACUCUCGUUCGUCUUCCCAUUCUCUAACGGAAAUCAGCCUCCAUUCGCCCUUUUCUCAAAAUCGGCGGGCAAUCGCCGCCUCCUCGCAGCCCCACCCUGACACCUUACCAGCGUCGCGCUCAAAUUCAAUCGGCCUCCCCUCUCCCUUUCUGCGAAAUCGUUGUUCCAUGCCUCAUGUUCUCUAAGAAUUCCGGCGAGGUUGUCGCCUGCGCACAAGAGUUCUUCUCUCCCAUCUCUGUUUCCAAACUCCACCGCAGCUCCCCGAAAUCUGGCGAGCUCGGCGCCGAUCUCCCUCGGUUGACCCUUUGGGGUGGGGCUCACUCCAAAAAAAAAUUAAAGUUAAACGGCGUUUGAGCCCUGUUUAGCGGAGGGUGUUAUUUGCACCCUUUUUUCGGGAGUUCAGGGAGGUCAACGCGCUUUGACCGAGUAUGGGGGGCUAAAAGCUAUUAGGAGUGUAGUUCAGGGGGCAAUCUGCACCUUUGCCCUAUUUAAAAUAGUUGAAUAUUAAUUAUUAUCUAUUUAACAAAUUGUAUAGCUCUUAAAAUAGUGCAUGUGAACGAUCGGGACGCUACUUCUUUCCCAAUUUUGGUGUCUUAUGAUCAAUUUCUUUUAGUUUUUAAUUAUUUUUUGUUCAAUUUCAACUAUUUUACGAUUUGACAGUUAUCAGUCAAGAGUUCAUCUGACGGGUGGAUGGCUAGAUCAUCUAGCCGCCCGGGCAGUCAGAUCGUUCUCUUUUUCAAAUUUUUCUUACACAUUUAUGAUUGAUAGCUGUCAAAUCGGUCAAAUUUGUAAGACUUUCACAAAAAAUCAAGCAAAACCAUCAACAUUAGACGUAUUUAAAGAAUACGACAUAAGAAACUUGUAUUUAUAAAAGAUGACAUUUUUUAUAUAUAACGUAAGCAAUAGAGCAUUUUAAAUUUCCACUCUUACCUGACACUACCACAGAGCAUUUUAAAUUUUCAUUCUUACCUAACACUACCACGGUACCACCUAGGGCUGUAAAUAAAUAGAGAUACUCGCAAGCUAUUCAACAUUCGGCUUGAAAAAAGCUCGUUCGGAGUACAAUUCAAUAGUAAACGAGCAAAGCUCGAGCUUGAUUUCGAGCUCGAGCCUGACAUUACUCGACUCGUUGAGCUCGCUAACAUAUUCGGAUUCGAUUGUUCGUGAACAUGUUUGCGAGCCUGUUCACAAACCUUCAGUCAAGCCUUCAAUCGAAUUAGUGCACGAGCCUCAAACAAUUCGAGCUUGAGCUCUAGUAACAUGUUAAUUUAAAAGCUUUUCUUAAAUUUAUAACGAAUUCGAGCUCGAACAUCAUAUAUACGAACAUCUAACGAGUCGAGCUCGAAUUUAAGUUCGACAUUAUGGAGCAUCAGCCGAAUUGAGCUCGAACCGAGCUCGGUAAAUAGGUGACGAACCGAGUUCGAUCAACAAGAUAAAAGCUCAAAUUGAGCUCGAGCCGAGCUCGAACACCCGAAUAUUUAAACGAGCCGAGCUCGAGCCUACUAGUAUUCGGCUCGACUCGGCUCGUUUAUACCACCCAUAGGAAAACAAGAGAAAUAAAGAGGUUGGUAGUAAUGGGGGAAACAGUCAAACAAAUGAGAGUGGUAUUUGGGGCCGGCUAAGGAAAACCGAACCAAAAGCAUUUUUCUCAUUUGCAACAUCUGAGUAGUAGCUACACCUAACGGAUAGAUAUAUUGUAGUUAAUAGCUAUACCUAACCUUCAAUAAGCAUGUAAAUGCGCACCAGUUUACAGAGCCCCAACUUCUCGUAUGUCAGAAAUUCACAUUUAAUGCGCAACAGUUUACAGAGCCCCAAACCCUAACUUCCCCUCCCCCUCCCCAGACCCCGUCUGCCCCUCCCCCGUCAAGCUUUCAACGGCGAAAUCGCCAGAUUUCGGAUUCACAACAGAGCUCGUCAGCCGGAACGGAGCUCGCCUGCUAUGCUACUCCUUCUGAACCGGAUGUCGCCGCCGAGAAACGAGCUAGCUAGAGUUUAGAUCUGAGGGUGUAUACAUGUGCAGAUGGGCUGCCAUAGCUUCAUACCUCGGAUUCAUAUACAUUGUAUUUUAUUUGCCACAUGAACUUAAGAUUUGCAUUGUAUUUUAUAUUUUACCUACAUUACAUUCUCUCAUCGUUUUUUAAAAAAAUUCAACUCUUUUUUCACUCAAAUAAAGAAAAAAAAAACUUUAUUUUUCCACUUUCUUAUUCUUACAAUUUAUUUUAUUUUAUAUGUUCUAAUUAUGUAACACUCUUAAUUAAUAAAUACAUGCUACAAUUUAUAAACAACCAAAUAUUUGCUAUCUAUGUGCUUCAAACAUAAAUAGACCUCCUAAAUCUACCAAACAUGUAUAUAAUUAAUCUAGGAUUUUGAGAAUCAUAUAUGAUUGUUAGAGUUGGAGACUCUAUUUGUUUUUGUUGUCAUUUAUAUGUUUGUGGUAUGUAUGACCAUCUGUGAUACCAGAUGUGUUACUACGACUGGGCAGAAUUUUCGAAGAAUAUCAUUUUCGGAUUUGGUCAAGGUUUAUGGAUAUACUUGGACUCCUUAGAGUGUUUGUUCCGUGUUGGUCACUCUUGUGAUAUAGUGAUCGACUUCUCAGAGUUUUAAAGAGUUGGUUCAAGCGAGGAUUCUCGAUUGCAACAGCUAUAUAAGUCGUCUUCAACCUUGAAGAAGGGUUGACUUUUUUUGUGCAUUCUGUCGAGCAGUUUAUGAGCGCCGCACCUUGCUUUGAGAGAACAUCAUAUAUUCGUGUUUGUGUUCUUGUUUUUCACUAGCUUUGCGUUUAUUCUCUGUGUUGAGCAAAGCAAGUCAGUUUUAUCUGUUUUGUGAAUUAUUGGUUGUAAGGGAUUAAGUGUGUUCGUCGGGGCUCACACUUAGAGAGUUAGUGUUAUCUAGCUUUCAACGGUUUAUCGUGUGUUGGGAUUUUGGGAAAUUAUAGAGGCGUUAGAAAGAUUGAGUCUUUGUAUAAGUCCUGCUGUAAUUUAACCUGGGCGAGACCCCUCAGACGUAGGUGUUCUAUCACCGAACUGAGUUACCAUAUUGCGUGUUCGUUUCCGUUCCUGCUUUCGAUUUUAUUUGUGUUGCUGCAUCAUUCCGGGUAUCAUCUUUAGUUCUUGUGCAAGUGUUCUAUGUAUUGUUGGGUAGACGGUUCUUUCAAUGAUCAUUAUUGUAUAUCGUCCAUCGUAUAAUUAUUUAACUCGAACUUGAUUAUUGCAUAUCUUCAAUUUUGGACUUUUGACAAUAGUGUUGGUAUUGUUAUAUUUUUUUUGAUAUAAUUUCACAAGUUAUAAAGAAAUUUAAAGAUUGCGCGACAAAAAAUUUGAAUCCAGGACCUCAGCUCUGGAGUUUUAAUCUUCUAUCACUAGGUACACACUGUUGGUAUUGAUAUUUGGUUUCUAUGUCUGUGUAUGUCAGACUAUGUAAUUUAUAGAUGCUUUGCAUAGCAUUUUGGUCUUAAAAUGACUUGUAGUGAUACCAUGUACUAUCAUUUUUUUCGAUAGAAUAACAGUAUUAAAUAUAUAAAUUUAAACGUCGCAUCAUGGUGAACUCGAAUCUAAGACCUUUGUCCUUAGGCAUUAACGUCUAUACCGCUCGACUAAUACACGCACACAAUACUAUAUAUCAGUGAUAUUUUAUAUAUGGGCAGCCACAUGCAAAGUUGGAGAUGAAUAUGGCAUUUAUAUAUCCCAAAUUCUCACUUAAUUUUCCCUUAUUAUAGAAAUCAAACUAUUUUCCGUAUUUUCUUAUAAUUGAAUCAAACACGUAAAUUUAACAAUUAGGAAUCAUGUUACCUUCUCAAAUCAUAAUUCCUGCGAAAUAAACGGGCCACAAGAAUUUUAUUUCUUAUUUACUUUUAGAUACACUAUUGGGCUAGACAAAUUAAAUGUAAGAUGAGAUGUAGAAUUUGGUCUGGUUUUUUGGGCUAGCCCGGCCCGGCCCAAAAUAUUUAUCCAUAAAAUACAUUUUUUAGAUGGGCUAUGCUAGAAAAAAGCGGCCCAAUUUUUUUGAACCAACUGCCAAGGGAGAAAGUGAACCGUAGCUGUUCGAUCAAUUGUCUGAACCAAUACGCAAUACUAGAGGAAUUUAUCCCGAAUCGAUCAGUUACCCGUUGGCAAGUAUGACGUACCCACCACUGAUGUGAAUUCUUUUAAACUUGUUGCACAUCAUCAUUCCACCACUCUCCUGCAACAUAUUAUUCCGAAUUUAAUUAUACAAACUCUAAAAUUCCAACACAAUUAAGAAUUUUAAUUCGAGCUUGUAUACCUAGUAAGAUGGGAAGUUGAGCAUGAGGCUUAGGGAAAGGAAAAGUGUGUAUAAACUUAUUUUUUCCGGGAGGUGAGAACAUUGCAUUGAAUGUAUAAACUUAUUUUUUUAGCAGAGGGUGAGAAAUGAUUGUCUUAUUGAAAUUAGACUUGGGCUCGAUGCUACCCAUCACAAGAAGAGAGAAGAAAAUGCAGUAUUCCUUAAUAAUUCGUUUAGAUUAAUCCGUGAGCCCACGGACAUUCCAAACGAGCACAUUCAUCAGAUUAUACAUUAUGUGUCCUAUUAGUCCUGGCAAGAGGUUUCGACAACGAAUUCUGCUCUCCAAGGAAGAAGGCACUUUAUUUUGGCACGCCCACAUCGAUUGGACUCGAGCUACUGUGUAUGNAAGACAAAUAUUUGGUUAUUAUACAUAAUUUUAAGGAAAUUAGACUUGGGCUCGAUGCUACCGAUCACAAGAAGAGAGAAGAAAAUGCAGUAUUCCUUAAUAAUUCGUUUAGAUUCAUCCGUGAGCCCACGAACAUUCCAAACGAGCACAUUCAUCAGAUUAUACAUUAUGUGUCCUAUUAGUCCCGGCAAGAGGUUUCGACAACGAAUUCUGCUCUCCAAGGAAGAAGGCACUUUAUUUUGGCACGCCCACAUCGAUUGGACUCGAGCUACUGUGUAUGGCGCCAUUAUCAUUCUACCGCCCAAGACACACACUUUUCCUUUCCCUAAGCCUCAUGCUCAACUUCCCAUCUUACUAGGUAUACAAGCUCGAAUUAAAAUUCUGUGUUGGAAUUUUAGAGUUUGUAUAAUUAAAUUCGGAAUAAUAUGUUGCAGGAGAGUGGUGGAAUGAUGAUGUGCAACAAGUUUACGAGAAUUCACAUCAGUGGUGGGCACGUCACGCUUGCCAACGGGUAAGUGAUCGAUUCGGGAUAAAUUCCUCUAGUAUUGUGUAUUGGUUCAGACAAUUGAUCGAACACCUACUGUUCACUUUCUCCCUUGGCGGUUGGUUCAAAAAAAUUGGGCCGCUUUUUUCUAGCAUAGCCCAUCUAAAAAAUGUAUUUUAUGUAUAAAUAUUUUGGGCCGGGAUGGGCUAGCCCGAAAAACCAGACCAAAUUCUACAUCUCCUCUUACAUUUAAUUUGUCUAGCCCAAUAGUAUAUCUAGAAGUAAAUAAGAAAUAAAAUUCUUGUGGCCCGUUUAUUUCGCAGGAAUUAUGAUUUGAGAAAGUAACGUGAUUCCUAAUUGUUAAAUUAACGUUUUUGAUUUAAUUAUAAGAAAAUAAGGAAAAUAGUUUGAUUUCUAUAAUAAGGGAAACUUAAGUGAAAAUUUGGGAUAUAUAAAUGCCAUAUUCAUCUCCAACUUUGCAUGUGGCUGCCCAUAUAUAAAAUAUCAUUGAUAUAUAGUAUCGUGUGCGUGUAUUAGUCGAGCGGUAUAGACGUUAAUGUUUAAGGACCAAGGUCUUAGAUUCGAGUUCACCAUGACGCGACGUUUAAAUUUAUUUAUUUAAUACUGUUAUUCUGUCAAAAAAAAAAUGAUAGUACAUGGUAUCACUACAAGUCAUUUUAAGACCAAAAUGUUAUGCAGAAGCCUUAAAGCAUCUAUAAAUUACAUAGUCUUACAUACACAAACAUAGAAACCAAAUAUCAAUACCAACAGUGUGUGUGUAAGAGCUGAGGUCUUGGAUUCGAAUUUUUUGUCGCUCGAUCUUUAAAUUUCUUUAUCAAAAAAAUAUAUCAAUACCAACACUAUUGUCAAAAUCCAAAGAUUGAAGAUAUACAAUAAUCAAGUUCGAGUUAAAUAAUUAUAAGAUGGACGAUAUACAAUAAUGAUCAUGAUUCUCGAGUUAAUUAUAUACACGUUUGGUAGAUUUAGGAGGUCUAUUAUGUUUGAAGCACAUAGAUAGCAAAUAUUUGGUUGUUUAUAAAUUGUAGUAUGUAUUUAUUAAUUAAUAAUGUUACAUAAUUAGAACAUAUAAAAUAAAAUAAAUUGUAAGAAUAAUAAAGUGGAAAAAUAAAGUUUUUUUUUCUUUAUUUGAGUGAAAAAAUAGUUGAAAUUUUAAAAAAAAAAAAACGAUGAGAGAAUGUAACGUAGGUAAAAUAUAAAAUACAAUGCAAAUCUUAAGUUCAUGUGGCAAAUAAAAUGUUGUUGUUCAUGAUCAUUGGAAAUGGAAAUGAAAUGUUGGUUUGUAGAUUUUAAUGGCUCAAAAUCUGAAAAUGGAAUGCCCUGCUCAAAAUACACAAUUUGUAGAUCUUAAUGACUCGAAAUUUGAAAAUGGAAUGACACCAAAAAUCUGCUCAAAAUGUAGUUCUUAAUGCAGAGCAAAAAUCUAGUUCUUAACUUGACCAUACCUUCUAAAAAAUCUGGAAAUGGAAUGCUCAAAAAAUGGUAGCCAAAGCUGACCUACUCGACAGAGCGGACCGUCACUCACAAGGCCGCCAGAGCUGACAGAACUGGCAAUUACGCGCUGAUAAGGAGGGACCACCAAUACACUGUAUACUUAGAAAUUAACUUAGUCAAUGGUAAAAAUUGAAGCUUUUACAGUAGUAUUGACUCUAUGAGAUGGAAUCUCUAAAAAAUGGUAAGAAGAGAAGGAAUUAGGUGGAAAGUGAGGGUUUUUUUCGUUGAUUAAGGCUUCUAUGAGGGUUUUGGGUUGAGGUGAGGUGGAAAAUUAGGGGUUUAGGUGAAGUGGAAAAUUAAGGUAAUGUGACAUUUUUAUAUAUAACGUAAGCAAUAGAGCAUUUUAAAUUUCCACUCUUACCUGACACUACCAUAGAGCAUUUUAAAUUUUCAUUCGUACCUAACACUACCACAGUACCACCUAGGGCUGUAAAUAAACAAAGCUACUCGCAAGCUAUUCAAGAUUCGGCUUGAAAAAAAGCUCAUUAAUUCGGAGAUCAAUUCGAUAGUAAACAAGCAAAGCUCGAGGUUGAUUUCAAGCUCGAGCCUGACAUUACUCGACUCGUUGAGCUUGCGAACAUGUUUGAAUUCGAUUGUUCGUGAACAUGUUUGCGAGCCUGUUCACAAACCUUCAGUCGAGCCUUCAAUCGAAUUAGUGCACAAGCCUUAAACAAUUCGAGCUUGAGCUCUAGUAACACAUUAAUUUAAAAGCUUUUCUUAAAUUUAUAACGAAUUCGAUCUCGAACAUCAUAUAUACGAACAUCUAACGAGUCGAGCUCGAACUUAAGUUCGACAUUAUCGAGCAUCAUCCGAACCGAGCUCGGUAAAUGGGUGACGAACCGAGUUCGAUCAACAAGAUAAAAGCUCGAAUCCAGCUCGAACACCCAAAUAUUAAAACAAGCCGAGCUCGAGCCUGCUAGUAUUCGGCUCGGCUCAGCUCGUUUACAGCCCUAGUACACACAUAGGAAAACAAGUACCACUUUAUGUUCUAUUUUUUAAUUUUAUUUAUUUUCUUAUAUAUUUUUUCUUCAAUUUCAACUUUGUAUGCUUUAUUUUAAUUUUGUGAUUAUUAACUAGGGUUUAUUCCAUCAAUUUAGGAUAUAUAAUUAUUUUUUAUUAUUUAAUUUCACUUUUAAUUAUUAGCUAUAGGUUGAUAAAUUCAAAGUCAUGAUAUAUACUCCCUCUGUCCCGCUAUUUAUGGCACGUUUCUUUUUGACACGGAGAUUAAGGAGAAGAAAAUUAAGGGAUUAAUUGUGUGUUUAACAAUUUGUUCAUCACCAAUUGUUCAUUGAAAACUUAUGCAAAACCAAAACAAAAAAUCGAAACACAAUACUCAACAACAAAAGAGAUAUGCCCUGUUAUUGAAGACAAGAGAAAAAAAAAAUUGAAACUCAGAUUAUCUACCCUUGGAACAAAGAGAUCUACACAAAAUAAAACCUAGAUAUUGAAAAUCCUAUAAACCUUCCCCCACUACAACUAAUGAAAAAAAAAUCAUCAACAUCUAUAGCGAACCCUAUUAAUCUCCUAAAAAAAAUCUCAACAAUGACAGCAGGACAUUAGUCGGCGUCUGCAUUCGUGCCCUAGGAGACAGAUAAUUGAUUUCUGUGUAACAAUUUUAAUAAGGAAUGUUGGUGGACGUCGUAUUCCACCAAAUAAUUCCUGCAGAAUUAUCAAAAACUAAUUAGUAUAAUGACAAGCAGGGUCGAUCCCACAGAGAGCAAGUAAAUCAUUCAAUUCCCUAAAAUUUAUAUUUUUGGUGAUGCCACCACUCCUUAAUUUUGAAAAAAUUAAUUAUAACUUAGAAAGCAAUAAAUCAAAUAAGAAUUUUGAAAUUAAUCAAUAAAAAGGUAACUCGGCUCAAAUAAAUCCACACUAAUUCAAAGCUCUGAUCAUCGACGCAAAGAUUAAUUAAUCCCUAUCAACCAACUAGUUAUAGGAUACCGUGAUACGCACUGACAUACCCCAAUUCCUACUUACUGUGUCGAUAGACGGCUGGAUACGCCAGUCCUGUCUAUUUCCCUUAUUAAAAUAUAACCUAGCCGGAUACGUCAGUCAUAGAUUUAAUAUUCUAAUAGCAUUAAGAGGAAGGAACCCAGUUUAGACCAAUUAUCCUAGAUACGCUAGUAAUAAUUAAUCCACCAAUUUAUUCCUACUACGAACACGGUAGGAAUAAAGCAAAGCAGUAAUAGAUAUUGGAGAAGUGGCGGCUCCUUCUCUAAACGAGCAUAUAUAUAGGGAUUAAACCCCUAAAGUCGCCACCUUCUUAAUCAACAUGGGCUUCGGCCCCUAAAAUAUAAGUUCCAAACUAAAAUAAGAGUUUUGGGCUCAAUUCAAUGUAAAAUAAUUAAGUCCAAGCCCAAUCUCUAAUUCUCUUCCAAAAGCAUAUGAACUCCAUCAAAUUCAUGUCAUUCUCGAACUUCUUCCAUCCAUGAGCUUCCAACCAUAUAUAAUUCAUGCAAUUCCUACGCCAAAAACACCAACAACUUGGAUAACAUCAAAUAUAAUCCAUGGCAGACAACACGAAUAUAAAUAACUAAAACACACACACCCAUCAAAUGUUUUUCUCAUCUGAGCGUGUAGUAGGUACACCUAAUGUACUCAACUCAUGUAUUGUAAUUAGUAGCUAUACCUAACCUUCAAUAAGCAUGUAAAUAAGCACCAGUUUAUUGCGACGUUGAAAUAAAUAAAUCAAAAGAUUAGAAUCAACGCCCACCCCCAUAUGCGCACCAGUUUACAUAACUCGAACUUCUCGAAUGUCAGAAAUUCACAUUUAUUGCGACCUUGAAAUAAAUAAAUCAAAAGAUUAGAAUCAACCCCAUAUGCGCACCAGUUUACAGAACCCGAACUUCUCGGAUGUCAGAAAUUCACAUUCAUGCACGUGAAAGAAUUAAAUGAGAGGAGAUGUAAACCUAGAAUCGACUUUAUAAAUACGGAGAAGAAAAAGGAAAUUAAUUCUCCUACCUCGUAUAGUAAACACCACCAGCUAGGAACAUGGCCCCAAAAAAAAAUAAAAAAAAUUAGUAGUAUUAAUAUUCAUAUAUAAAUUAUUUUAGAUUUAGUUUUUGCAUUCCCAAUUAAAAGUUUUAAUCCAAAAUAAAAGAGAAAUUCAGUUUUUAAAAUCCUAAAUUCCAUUGGCCCAACUAAAACGAGAGCUCAUCAUCUCUUUCUUUUUCAUUCUUUUGAUCAAGCCCAUCAUUUAAUCAAUCAAUUACCUCAAUUCUUAAUUAAACAAAAAAGUUGCAAGUACACAUUUUGCAUUUGGAAUGUAGAGUUAUUACUAUUAUAUUUGUAUUUUAGUAAAAAAAAUGUCUAAAAUGUAUUGGAGGCCUCAAAAAAAAAAUUAGCCCCUCGAAAAAAUUCUAGCUCCACCAGUGUUUAUAAGAUUAUUUUUUGCACCCCAAUUUUAAAAUCCUGGAUCCGCCACUGCACACCGCUGAAAAAAAAUGUUUUUUCAUAGGAAGCUUAAGGUUUUCAUGCUGUGCUACCUUGGUAUUAUUAUGGCUCCAGUCCAUGCUUUAGUUCAUCAUAAGUUUAAAGUAUGUAUUGUUCCCCAUGCAUGCUACUAAUAUUAAUUGAUUUUGUUUUUUAUUAAUAGAAAGUCAUGCACGUGAAAGAAUUAAAUACUCACGUACGUUAAUUCAGAAAUAAAUGAGAGGAGAUGUAAGGUAGAAUCAACAUUAUAAAUACGGAGAAGAUAAAGGAAAUAAAUACACACCACUGAGAAAAAUGUUUUUUCAUAGGAAGCUUAAGGUUUUCAUGCUGUGCUACCUUGGUAUUAUUAUGGCUCCAGUCGAUGCUUUAGUUCAUCAUAAGUUUGAAGUAUGUUCCCCAUGAUUUUGUUUUUUAUUUAUAGAAAAGGUAGCUAAUUGGAAGUGUAAGUUUGCAGGUGAGAAGAUCUUCACACACCAGGCUAUGCACCACCAAAAGCAUGCUAACAGUAAACGGGCAGUUCCCAGGGCCAACUAUAUAUGCUCGAAGGGGAGAAUUGGUGGUAGUCGAUGUUAUUAAUCGUGCCGAUGCAAAUAUUACUAUCCAUUGGUACGUCAAAUUCAAGCAUUUCAAACUCAUAUACUCCCUCCGUUUUUUAUUAAGUGUCCUAUUUUACUAACUUCCUUGUUUCUUAAAGCAUUUGCAUGAAACUGAUCAUAUAUCAUCAUAUAUAAGCAUAUAUAUAUGGCGAUCGAUUUCAGGCAUGGAGUAAAAAUGCCGAGAUAUCCAUGGACAGAUGGCGUCAACUCUGUCACGCAGUGUCCUAUUACUCCCGGCAAAAGCUUUCGACAACGAGUUCUGCUCUCCGACGAAGAAGGCACUUUGUUUUGGCACGCCCACAUCGAUUGGACUCGAGCUACUGUGUAUGGAGCCAUCAUCAUUCUACCGCCCAAGACACACACUUAUCCUUUCCCUAAGCCUCAUGCUGAAUUUCCCAUCUUACUAGGUAUAAUUAAAAUUCUCGACCAAUAUUAAUUAAUUGUGUUGGAAUUCUAUCGAUUCGGAAUAAUUAAUAAAUGUUGCAUGCAGGAGAGUGGUGGAAUGAUGAUGUGCAACAAGUUUACGAGGAUUCUACAGAACUAGGAAUCGGUGCCAAAUUGUCUGAUGCUUUCCUCAUGAAUGGUCAACCUGGCGACCUCUAUCCCUGCUCAAAACAAGGUAAAAUCCAAACAAAUAGGAGUAUGGAGCAAAUGUAUCGUCUUGACCGGGACAGAGGGAGGGAGUAAAAGUUUUACUAAUUAAUUUGGUUUGAUGCAAUUAAUGCAGAUACAUUGAAGUUGAGUGUGGAGCCGGGCAAGACUUACCUGAUCAGAAUGGUUAAUGCAAUGAUGAACUACAUUAUGUACUUCAAAAUCAAGGACCACAACGUGACCGUGGUGGGGAUGGACGGCGCCUACACGAAGCCGCUGAACACCGAUCACAUCGCCAUCGCCCCCGGCCAGACCAUAGAUUUCCUUCUGGAAGCCAACCAGCCGCCCAGCCGUUAUUACAUGGCCGCCAGAGUAUACGCCGGCCCCGAGUGGAAAACUUACAUCCACACCACAGGAAUCGUGGAGUACGUCGGUAACUACACCCGGCCCUGGCCGUCAUCACCGGUGCUUCCAUCUUUCCCUGAGAUCGACGAUGGGGUGGCCAGGUCCACCCAUUUCAGCAACAGGCUCAGAAGCCUCGCCGACGACAACUACCCCAUCAAAGUUCCUAUGAACAUCACCCACAACAUGUUCGUCACUCUCUCCAUCAAUACGUGGCCCUGUCUCACAAAUUCUUGCGUCCACGUCUUCGGGCUGCUGGCCAGCAUGAACAACGUGACCAUGUUGUUGCCCAAAACCCAAAAUAUUCUCGAGGCGUAUUACAAAGGGAUCAGAGGAGUUUUCACGACCAAUUUCCCAGCGAUGACACCAAUAAUAUUCGACUUCACGCAAGGUUAUAAGCCGGGGAAUUUUGCGCCCGCCCAUUUCGGAACGGCUGUGUACAUGUUGGACUACAACUCGGAAGUCGAGAUGGUGCUUCAAGGCACCAACUAUGGCGUUGGCGAUGGAAUCGAUCAUCCCAUGCAUUUACAUGGACACAGCUUCUAUGUUGUCGGAUCUGGAUACGGGAACUUCGACCCAAACACGGAUCCGCCAAACUUUAAUCUCAUUGACCCGCCGUUGGUGAACACGGUUGCCGUUCCAAGAAGUGGAUGGAGCGCUAUCAGAUUUAAGGCUAACAAUCCAGGUUCCCAUCUCCUUUUCCUUCAUAAAUUGUUAAGCAAAAGUCUCAUAGUUUAUUAAGUAAUUAAAGUUGCAUUAAUAUUAUGGCGCGCAGGAGUGUGGUUCAUGCACUGUCAUUUCGAGCGUCAUCACAGUUGGGGAAUGAAGAUGGCGUUCAUCGUUAAGGACGGGGAAGGCCCCAAUGAGAAGAUGUUGCCUCCGCCCCCAGAUAUGCCCCUCUGUGAACCGCCCCCUGCAGCCUCAACAAUUUAGGAUUAAUUAAUUAUAUCAAUCCGCACGUAUUGUAAAAUUGAGUCUUACUUACACAAGGCUCACCAUGAUUCAUAAGAAAACCAGCAUGGGUUUCUUUUAUUUAAACUAGGGUUAUUUCUUCUAGUCCUUCCUUCUGUACACCAUCAAUGUUUCUUUAAUUUUGUCAUUUUAGUAUGUCCACAUAAUAUGUUCCCUUUUAUUUUUAAACAUUACCCCAUAACACAAUUUACUAUAGUAGGACUCAUACAUCACUCCUCCACCACACAAUAUGUGAUUUUUUAUAUAAAAAAUUGGACAAUUCAUAUGUAUUUUAUGCAAAAUGACACUUUCUUUUUCUCUUUCCUUUUUUUCACAUUAUGAUGGGAGUAUUAUCGUAAAAAUGCAUAUAUCGUUAUUUAUUUUAGAGUGAAUUUUGAAAAUAGCCACUUUAAAAUAGUAAAAUUAAAAAAUACCCACUAAGAUAAAAAAAAUUUUAAAAAAUACUCACAUUUACCAUUUUACCCUUACAUAUAAAUUUUUUACAAAUACCCACAGUUCACUAGUUGUGAAUUCAAGUUUUAAAACUCGAAUUCACAACUGAAUAACAAGUACUAAUUGUUGUGAAUUCAAGUUUUAAAGUUUGAAUUCACAACUAUAAAUAGUGUUAGUUGUGAAUUCGCGUCAAUUCAUAACCAACACUAUUUCUACUUGUGAAUUCACAACCAAUAAAACUUGAAUUCACAAUCAACACUAUUUUCAAGUUGUGAAUUCACAACCAAUAAAACUUGAAUUCACAACCAAUACGGUCAAGAUUCGUAUUAAAUUUUGUAUACAAUAAUAUAAUAUAUUUAUAAUUCUAGUAGUUGUUUAUUACGCUUGGAUUUCGAUCUUGACUUGUGGUGUGAAUUUUGAAAACAUGUAACCAUUUCAAUUUUAAAAGUUUUGAAGUAAAAAAAUAAAUAAAAUUAUUCUAAAUAUCAAUUUUGCAGUCCCGAAAACAAAUCACAUAUUAUAAUUUGACAAAGGCAUUUUAAGAAUAAUAAUAUAUUUCAUAUUUCAUAAAAAAUACCAUAUUUUAAUGAAUGACCAUAUUUUAUGUAGGAGUAUAUUUUUUUAAAUCUAAAUAACAUGUUUAUAUGAAAUGAGUCAAUGACCAAUAUAGAAUUUACUACUCCCUCCGUCCAUGAAAAAGAGUCCCACUUGGAAUUUGGCUCGGGUUUUAAAAAAGUUGUUAAAGUAGAUGUAAGUGAGAUAAAUGUAUAAUUUGUUGGGGUAUUAUUAGCACAAAAAAGUAGAAUAAAAGUACACUUUUAGUUAAAAAGUGGAAUAAAAGUACAAUUUAUAGUUAAAUGUAAAAUAAAAGGUAUGAUGUGAUGGUUCAAAAAAUUAAAUAAAACUCUUUUUCAUGANAUUUUUAUUUUACCUAAAUAUCGUUUUUUGCCUAUUUUUUUUCGAAAAAUAUAUUUUAUUUUUAAAUUGUUUUUUUAUUUUUUUUAUCGUUUUAUAAUUUUUCUUUUAAAAUAUUAUUUCCUUAAAAUUUCUCAACUACUUUUAAUCUUUUCCUAAACAUAUUUUAUUUACAUUUUUAUUUUACCUAAAUUUUGUUUUUUUAUGCCAUUUUUUUUCGAAAAAUAUAUUUUAUUUUUAUAUUGCUUUUUUUUAUUUUUUUUAUCAUUUUAUUAUUUUUCUUUUAAAAUAUUAUUUCCUUAAAUUUCCCAACUACUUUUAAUCUUUUCCUAAAUAUAUUUUAUUUACAUUUUUAUUUUACCUAAAUUUUGUUUUUUUUUUUGCCAUUUUUUUUUCGAAAAAUAUAUUUUAUUUUAAAUUGUUUUUUAAUUUUUUUAUCAUUUUAUUAUUUUUCUUUUAAAAUAUUAUUUCCUUAAAUUUCUCAACUACUUUUAAAAUUUAUAUUUUUUUCGAAACUAAUAUUUUAGUUGUUUUAAGAGUAAAUUUUUAUUUUUUUCCAAAAUUAUGUUUUAUUAAUUUGUUUCCAGAUUUUUAUUAUUAUUAUUAUUAUUAUUAUUAUUAUUAUUUAUUUAUUUUUUGAAAUUAAAUAUUUUUUUUCAAAUUUUAUUUUUAUGGGAAUUUAGUAUUUUAGUUAUUUUUUGGGGAAUUUAGUAUUUUAGUAUUUUUUUGGGAAUUUAGUAUUUUAGUUGUGGCAGCCGCAAUAGGUUGUCGUUGGAAAUCAACUUAUCUUCUAUUGUCGCCAUAAAUAAAUAAAUAUUAAUGUUAUAUAUAGGCUACAAAUUAGAAUAUUAAAACGCAGAUUUGAGGCAAAGAAAAAGGAAAAAAAUAAUAUUGAUUAUGUUUUGUAUAAGAUUUUAAGUGAUUGCACGCCAUGUGUUUGUAGAAAAUGCCUGUUCGAUUUUAAAAAAAAAAACUAAGCGAUUUGUUGCCAAAAAAAAAUACACCCCUCUAAGGAACAAGGGGGAAUCGAACCUCUGACCUUCGUCUAAUGUAUAUGAUACUUUGCCACCUUGCCCGGCAGUGGCAGCCACAAUAAGUCAUGGUUGAAAAUUAACUUACCUUCUAAUGUCGUGUACUUAUGUUUAUUUUAGCUCAUUUUAGCUUUUUCAUACAUUCAAUUUAAUUCUUAUGUUGAUUAUAAAAAUAUUUGUUGUUAAUAUAAUUUAACUAUAUUGUUGAUUAGUGUUUUAAGUGUGUAAUUAAUAAAGUAUAAAAUUGAUAAAAUAAAAGGAAACGUGUCAAGAUUCGUAAGACAACCCAAAAAUAAAAACGUGUCAAGAUUCGUGGGACGGAGGGAGUAUAUGUUAAAUGGUCUUGCAAGCGAAAUCCAAUCGUAUAAAUUUUUUUAUUUUUUCCAAAUUCAAUAAUUAAUUUCAAUACAUUGCAAAAUGCCAUCGUAUUAUUAAAUUGAGGUUUAUUAUAAAAGAAAAAGAAAAAAAUCCCUUGAGAGCACAAAACGCAGACUAAGGGCACGAAACUCGAAAAGAGAUCGUUAAGCUAAGAAUCCUGAAGACACUAGCAAUCCCAUAACUCAGGAUAGUCGUCCAUCUCAUCUGACCAACGUCUAUUUACUAUAUUAUUCAUUGCCCUCAUGCUAUCACUAUUGCUACAAUCAACUACAAAGUCCCUCGGCUUGUAGCUCAUUUCACCCGCAUUCCUGAGACGACCUUUUAUGCUACCUUCCGGAACCGCUUGCAUCGGCUCCUUUCCCAUGCCCUUUCCCGUGCCCUUUGGGCGGCCACGUCCCCGCUUGGUCGUCUUGUCCGAGAGCAUUUGCAUCCCCUGAUUAACCUGCUCUUCUAACUGACUAAUGCGACUAGCAAUAUUGUCCGGGCCAAGAGCGGACAAAUCCUUGUUACCUUCAUGCGAAACACCCCCUCUUUUGUCCAAAGUUGGGUCACGUUCGAGAUCAACAACUGUGUCGUCCAUAAUCGGGCUGUUCAAACCCGCGCCAUUCGGAGCCUCCAUCUCCAAAGUUUCCUCCACAUCCGAGUCCUCCUCGUUAAUGACUAAGUCACUAUCUUUAAUAAUCACAUCUUUAACCCCCUGAACCGGAACCAGGAUUUUAUCCAACAAAUCCGGGCCAGAUAAAUGAACCCCGAAAGACGUUCCAGAAAUAGGAUCAACGCCCAUAUCCAAAACAGUCUCCGCAUUAUUCUCCAAGUCAAGAGCCUGAAAUGCGUUCCGCGUCUCAACAGCCUCUUUCUCAAGAACCUGAACAACAAUCUGUUUUUUACCGCCUGUUCGGUAACCUUUGACCAAGCCGCAGCAGGUUUAUCAGCUAGUUGAGCUUUAGGCUUAACCUUCUUGCUCUUGUUUUCAUAAUCAGUAGCAGACUCGAUCAGAGCUUCUUUACUGUCCUGGAUGUCCUUCCGCUUAAGCUUUGUACACUUUUCCACCUGAUGUCCAGUGAUGCGGCAAUUCGAGCAAAAGAAGGCAAUUGUUCAUAGCUAAACUCGACAUAGAAAGGAUGUUCACAAUCUAUAAGCAUCGAUUCCUGCAAUGGCUGAGCGAGAUCCACUUCAAUUAGCACACGAAUGAAAUGGCCGACCUCUCCAUGAGCUGAUACACCAUCAAUUUUUAUUGGAAAACCAAUAAUUCUAGCAAUUGCUGUUAUUACCUCAGGAUCCCAAAACUCAUUCGGAAGGUAAUAAAUCCGAACCCAAACUUGACAAAUAGAAGAGACUUCCUUGUAGGGAUUGAAACAUGGAACCCAAUCGCGGAGGCGAAUGGAACCCGCAGCCAAAUCCCAAACAAUUUUAGCUUUCGCAAGUUUUUUAUCUUCAAGAUUAGAGAAUUUCAUGGUGAAAAAACCCUUACCCAGAGUGAGAAGCUUCCACUCUGAUUGGAUACCCCACAAAUUGUUGAGUUCAAGCUUCAACUGAUGUGUCGCCUGUGGCUUGCUUCCUUUCCGUAGUAAUACCCUUCCAAUAACAGAGAAUUCGAAUUCAGCAAUACGUUUUUGAUACAUCUGUUUCGGAAUGGUGAGAGAGAACCCAUCGGCGAGUUUCUCAGCCUUAAGAGCUGAGAAUUUAUGUGCUGGUAAAUCUGGAGGUCGAUCAACCCGUUGUUGCAUGAUCGAGGCGUAUGAAACCCUACCCUCUGGUGGCGGCUGCUUUGUGAAGUUAGGCACCGAAGCUGUUCCUUCAGACGGAAUUGUAGAGGUAGUUCCAGAUCCUGAUGGAUUAUCCGAUAAACAAACCUCAACAAGUUUCAAAUUCCCAUGCUCCAAAUCCCUCGACUGUUGAUAAAAGUUGUUUGAGAUUUGUGGCAGGCGAAGGCUAUUAGGUUUCUCAGGAAAUCCACGGGCUCCUGAAGCAGUCGGCGACAGAGAGGAAGCAGUUCUCUUAGCGGCGCCGGAGAGCGGCGUCGGCGAAAGAACCAUGGCUGAUCUCCGACGAAGACGGCCUUCCGGAGGCGGAGCUGAUUUGGAGAUGCUGCUCCGCCGUGGCCCGGUGGUCGUGAGAAUCAGAUCGAAGGCGGACUGGCGCCGGCGUCGAUAGAUGAGCACCGGCCUCACCGGUUCCGGUGUGCGGCGAGCAGCGUCGGGGUGGUGGCGUAGUCAACGUCGGGCUGGUGGCUUCGCCGCGCUGCUGCUGCUGGAGCACCGGUCGCCGCUCUGCAAGUCGCCGCUGCUGCUGGAUCUGCCGGUCGCCGCGCUGCAAGUCGCCGCUGCUGCUGGAUCUGCCGGUCGCCGCUCUGCAAGUCGCUGCUGCUGCUGGAUCGCCGGUCGCCGCGCUGCCGGUCGCCGCUGCUGCUCGUUCUGCCGGUCGCCGCUGCUGCCGAUCUGCAAGUCGCCGCUGCUGCCGAUCUGCAACCCCAAUCGGUGUGCGUGAAGGUGGCGACGGCGCGAGUCAGGGACAUGUGUCAGGGACAUGUGUAGGGCGACCUCGCAAUCAUCACGUGUAUUGUCAACAAAAUGCCAUCGUAUAAUGCAUUCUUUCUCAUCCAAAAAUAUGUUAAAUAUUGUCGCGGCCGAAAUCCAAUUGUAUGAAUCAUUUCACUUUAUUUCAUUUAUUUAUAUAUUAUAUUCACAAAUUUAACUUAAAUUAAUUAAUAACUCAUAAUUUUAUAACAAAUAGUUAUAUCGACUUCGUUAAACUAUAGUAUAGCAGUUCAUUGUCUUAUUGGCAUAUCACGUUUAAUUGUUUUCAAUAAAGCAUUGUAUUUCCCUCAAGUAUAUGUUAAAUAGUUUUAUAUGUUAAUUUUAUUUCCAAAUUCACUAAUUAAUUUCAAAUAAUUUAUUAACUUUAUUUCAUUGAAUAUAAUUUUUUCGACUUCACAAAGUAUAUGGUACAUAGUUUUCCAAACAAAAUCCAUUCGUUUGAUGCAUUUAUUUUAAUUUUCUUAUCGUCACUCACACAGUAGUAGUUCAUUUUCUUAUUAUUACAUCACCUUUAAUAAAGUAUAUGUUAUUUAUUUUUUCGAUCUAUUUCCCAUCAUAUGAUUCAUUUUAUUUUUAAAAAUGUAACUAAUUUAGUUUAAUCAAUUAGUUCAACUUUAUUUCAUCGAGUAUAAUUAUUUCGACAUCAUUAUUUAAACUAUUAUGAUACAUUUUCUUCAAGUAUAUGUUAUAUAUAGUUUCCCGAGCGAUGUCUCACCGUAUGAUUCAUUUUGUUUAAGUAAGAUUUUUAAUUACACAACAUAAUUCCAUUGAGUAAAAUAUUUAUUCAUUUAUAAUAUAUUUUAUGCAAUUUUUUGUUUUUUAGGCUAAAACAUAUUCAAUUGUUUUGACAAAAUAUACAUUACUUAAAAUAUAAUAUAUUAUAGGCAAUUUUAUUUUUGGCACAACUUCAAUUGUUUAUACAAUAUAAAUAUUCCUUCAUUUAUAUAAUAUUUAAUUUUAUAAUUUUCAUCAUUUAUAUUGCCCACAUACAUAUUCCUUCAUUUAUAAUAUAUUUAAUAUUAUNAAAUAGUAAUAACUAGGAAAAAAGAAAAUACAUUAUAACAAGAAAAAGGAAAAAAAAUAAGCGAAUAAGAAAACAAAAAAAUAAGCUAAUAGCAAAAGGAAGAAUAGAAAAAUAAGAAAAAAAAAAAAGAAAAAAGAAAAAAAAAAAAAAAAGGUAAAACAAAACGCAAGAAAAUGAAACACUACGAAAUGCUAUAGGGAAGAUUUGAACUCUGGUAGAUAAGAAAGGGAAAACUUUCCCCAACACUACACCACAUUUAAUUUUGUAAUUAAGAAGGAAACAGUUUUUAUAUAUUAUAUGCGAGCCCAGACCCGCCCAUCCCACACCUUAACCCGCCAGACCCGCGCCCAAACCCACCCAACCCGCGCCCCGACCCGUCUCAUGGGGUGAGGUUGACCUCACCCAAGACCAACUCAACUUAAAUUCACAACCAAUACGGUCAAAAUUCGUAUUAAAUUUUGUAUACAAUAAUAUAAUAUAUUUAUAAUUCUAGUAGUUGUUUAUUACGCUUGGAUUUCCAUCUUGACUUCUGGUGUGAAUUUUGAAAACAUGUAACCAUUUCAAUUUUAAAAGUUUUGAAGUAAAAAAAUAAAUAAAAUUAUUCUAAAUUUCAAUUUUGCAGUCCCGAAAACAAAUCACAUAUUAUAAUUUGACAAAGGCAUUUUAAGAAUAAUAAUAUAUUUCAUAUUUUCAUUAAAAAAUACCAUAUUUUUAAUGAAUGACCAUAUUUUAUGUAGGAGUAUAUUUUUUUAAAUCUAAAUAACAUGUUUAUAUGAAAUGAGUCAAUGACCAAUAGAGAAUUUACUAUUCCCUUCGUCCAUGAAAAAGAGUCCCACUUGGAGUUUGGCUCGGGUUUUAAAAAAGUUAUUAAAGUAGAUGUAAGUGAGAUAAAUGUAUAAUUUGUUGAGGUAUUAUUAGCACAAAAAAAUAGAAUAAAAGUACACUUUUAAUUAAAAAGUGGAAUAAAAGUACAAUUUAUAGUUAAAUGUAAGAUAAAAGGUAUGAUGUGAUGGUUCAAAAAAUUAAAUGAAACUCUUUUUCAUAAACAAAAAAAUAGGAUUAGUAUGACUCUUUUUCAUGGACGGAGGAGUAAUAAAAACCCUGGCAUUGUAAAAAGCGAGGAAAAAUACUUGUCUGCUUUAUUUGAAUUCAUUACCAAAAAGGGAAAUGAUUGACCAAAAAGCGUAAAAGGGGUAAAAAAAACGCGUCACGUUAAAAAGUCGAGAAAUUUUCAUGAUAUUUUUUUUUUUUUUUUUUAUCUUCUUCUUCGAAUCACUGUCACACUAUCAACACUCUGAUAACGAACCACUCUCUCUCUCUCUCUCCCUCACACACAUACACACCUGAAAACCGUCUCCGAUUCUUCAAUCACUUCGAAAUUGAGUGAACUGGAGCUCAAAAGAUCCCCGAGAUUGGGAUCAAAUGGGUCGCAACUCAAUAACCCCCGGAGAUUCAGCUUCCGACGACGCAUCGGCGGCCACAUUCCACUCGAUCCGCGACCGUUUCGCCUUCAAGCGGUACCACAACGCUAGCAGCGCGGCCGAACUUCCGCGCUCCUCCAAAACGGCGACGUCAGCGCACAAAACCUCCCGAUCUCACCACCACAAGCAGCGGAAGCUAUCGUUCUACCCAUUCAAAGGCAAAUCGAGGCUCUACGUGUGCAUUUUCACGGUGCUUUUCGUGUUUUUUGUGGCCUCGAUGGUUUUGCAGAGUCGAUCAUGCUGGCUUUUCGGCAGGGAGUUGGUGGCGAAAGAAUGCGGUGGAGGUGGUCGGUGAAGGAGGGGUUGGAGCUGGGGAGCUCGCUGGAGUUUGUGCCUCGGCGGAGGCUAGAGCUGAACGGAAGCCGGCUCGAUUUGCUCAGAAGCCAGCCGAGGAUUGGUAUUCGGCCUCCUAGGAUCGCUUUGGUAAGUGAUUGAUUGAUAUACAUGUUUCUUUAAGAUGUAAUUAGGAAAUUCAAAUUCCUAUGAUUGAACUUGAAUUUAAGGUUAAUUAUGAGCUUAUAUUGUUAUACAUGCUGAAUUGGUGGUUUGCAUGAUCAGAGAUUUGAUAGUUGUUGAAAUUAUAUGCAUAAUGAUCUGGAAUGUAAAAGCGUAAGUGCCAAAACCAAAUGUCUAUGUUUGACGGAAGAGUAGUUCAAAUCCUGUUUUCAAAUGCGUGUCUUCCUUAUUAUAGGUGUGAAAAAAUGAGAUAGAGCUUUGGUGAGUGAUAAUCACUUCAUAAUUCCAGCUUCGGCUUGAAUAGGAUAUCAAGAGGAUAGGUAAGAUGCAAGAGUCACAGAACAGUCGCGUGGCAUGGCCUUAAUUCUGCUGAUUUCUAGGUGAAUAUGCAUUUUGUAGCGGAUCAUUUAUCAAUUAUCUGAAUGCUAAAGGCAAUCUAUGUCAGAUAGGUUUAAUAUUGUUCGUUUGCAACCUUCAUACCUUACUCACACACACACGCAUGCUUCUUUUCUACCUAAUGAAGUGCAAUGAGACUGAGUCACUCUUGUCAUAUUUUAGGCAGUCAUCUAUUUGUCUUUCUCUUAACUUAUGAAAGUGUUGUGGAAAAACCCAAUGCCUUUUAACACUUUCCAAACCUAAAAAUUAAUAAACUUCUGAUAAUAGCUGCAAGAAGGUGGUGUUUGCAUGUGUUAAAUAUGUGGGUGAUUGAACAAGCAUUGUAACAUUAGGAUCUCUCGAUUAUGGUGUUGCUUUGCCAUGUUUUCCGCGAUGAGCUAUGGAAAAUUCAAGUACAAGUUUUGUACUUCGUUAUGCUCUAAUUUAUCUUACCUACCCACCUUGCGCACCUUUUUUCCCUGCAAGGUAGGGAUUAGAUGUUUGUCCAAAUCUUUGAUUUCCUUUUGUUGACUUCUAAGAUGCAUUCUGCAAAAGGCAACAACUUCUAGUAUUGCCAUAUGCAUUCCAAUUGAAAUGCUGUAAUAUAUUUAUUCAUUCUUUUUUAUCAAUGCAAGAUCUUAGGGAACAUGAAGAAAGAUCCUUCAGCACUAUUGCUGUAUUCUUUGAUGAAGAACUUAAAAGGUCUCGGCUAUCUGCUUAAGGUAUUUUUUUCAUAACAGUUUGCAUUUGAUGCUACUUAACUGUUUUGUAUUCAUAAUGACAAUUGUAAAACCCAUACAAGCUAAGUGCCCAAUUUUUUCCUAACCUUCUCCGCUCUUCACUUUCAUCUCUAAAACUAAAGGAUAAUCUCUGUAAUUGAAAAUUUUCUGUAUAAAAUAGUGUGCAUUCAUCAUGCUCUGGAUAUAAUAUAGUAAUUCAGAAAGUGUAAAGAUCAUUGGAAAAAAAGAGUUCAUGCCCAGAAGCUCCAGACCUUGAUAGAGUAGGUGUAACCAAAGAAUUAGUAUAAGCAGCAGCCUCCCUGGAAUUCGAGUUGGGAAUAUUACUUGCAUGUUGUAUACCUUCUUGAGUGAAAGUGUGCCAUAACUCUUAGUACUAUUACUCUGAGAUAAUGGCAUAACUACUUAGUAAAUAAAUUUCUAUGAGCUUUGAGUAUAUGUCCUCAUCAACUUCUUAAGCUCUAGUAAUUAAUAUCUUAGUUUGGAUAUACGCUUCCGCGCAUGUGAAAUGAAACCACACAUUCUUGCUGUAAUAGAAGUGAAAACUAUCUAAACUCUUCAUAUAUAUAUAAGCUAAGAGUCUGCCUUUGUACGUAUGAAUCUGUAGGAGAAAGUUCUGGAACAAAUAUUAGCUUGCAGUUGAAACUUGUGAUAAUAUCAGUUACUAAAAUACGUCUAUAUCUUCCUAUUAUGCACAUUUAAAAGUUUACCUAUACCCCAUAUACUUUCUGUAGUUAUUUGCCCUCAAAGAUGGCAGAGCUCGUUCUGUCUGGCAAGAGCUUGGAGGUCCAGUUUCAAUUUUAUGGCCUGAAAGAUAUGGUUACAUUGAUUGGUCAAUGUAUGUUUUCUCUUCCAUUUCUUCAUUUUACCCUAGAAGUUCUGUAUGUUAGUUGCAUAUAUUGUUGAUUAGUUUUCUCUAGGCACUAUAGCUGAGCGAUGCCUUUUUCUGCCUACAGUUAUGAAGGUAUUGUUGCGGAUUCCCUUGAGGCAAAACAUGCCAUUUCCAGGUAUUAUUUCUUGAAAGAAUUUUCUGUGUUUCAGAUACAUCCUUUAACUUUCAUCGCUGGAUCUAUAUCACAAAUGAGGCGAACACAAAAGUAAAAUACUAUGAUAAAUGAGGCCUAGUGAAUAUUGUCCUUUAGACCCACUUCUCCCCAGCCCAAAUUUAGUUAGCCAUUUGAGGUCAGUUAGUUUUGCUGUUUUCUGUCAGUAAGAUUUCCUCCCAUAGAUCUGAUUGGUGCACUGAUGGCAAGCACACAUACUGAUAGAUAUUGUUCCUAACAAAGAGAGAAUCUCAUACAAAUAUGACCAGUUGUGAGUGAUCAAAAUUGUUGUCUAGGAAAUUAUGUGCAAGCAUCAUCAAUUUGAGCAAAGGUUUUUGGGUACAAGUUUAGCUACAGAUUCAGAUGCUAAAUAAGUAUGUUCCAACAGGCUUUCAACCAGGUAGCUAUUGGAUCACUAUAGUGUAGGGAAAUCUACAAUACUGACUACAUCCUCAUGGUCCAUAUUAUCCCUAUGAGUGGUUCCAUGCUUGCUGUCUAUGAGAGGGUGACUGCAGCAAAACUGCUAGAAGUGACUCCAAAGCUCCAAUGCCUGCCUGACAUAAGGCGAUAGUUUCUCUUUGGCUUCUCCUGUCUUUAAAGCUUUAGUAUGCCAUACACCACCAUGCUUAACAUGCCAACCUUGAUAUUUUUCCUUAGACUGCAUCACCAGUAGAUCUCUGAAUCAAUGUACCACGAAAUUUACUUUCCUUCAGUACAGAAAAAAUUAUUUCUAAGAGAAGACUUGAGAGUUUUCUUGAGAAAAGCUACAGGAGAUUGUUCAGUUCUGAAAGGACCAUCUUGAACCAGAGCUUCAGUGAACAUAACAAUAGUUUAGGACUCCUCCACGUUUCCUAUUCCUAUAGCAAACAUGUAUGUGAUGGAUACUCCCAUGCAGUGUACACUGCGUAGUGCUAUUUGGUAUUCUAUGAUUUGUCAAUUUGAUAUCUAUGCAGCCUUAUGCAGGAGCCUUUUUGCUCUGUGCCUCUGAUAUGGAUUAUCCAAGAGGAUACUCUCGCCAGUCGUCUACAACUUUACGAGGACAAGGAUUGGGGCCAUCUCAUUUCUAAUUGGAAAAUUGCUUUCAGUAGGGCUGAUCUUGUGGUGUUUCCAGAAUUUUCUUUCCCGGUAAAAUUCUUUCUGGAUUUUUUCUUCUUAAGAUGUGACUUAUAUAAGGAUUGUCUUAGUUCUGAGUAUUUAUUAUUCCUCUUCCUGUAUCAGAUGUUAUAUAGUGUUCUUGACACUGGAAACUUCUUUGUAAUUCCUGGAUCUCCAAUAGAUGUUUGGGCUGCAGAAAGCUAUAGUGAGACUCAUUCCAAAUCUCAGCUACGGAAGGAAAAUGGUUUUCACGAUGAUGACCUGCUGGUUCUAGUUCUUGGGAGUUCAUUCUUCUACUAUGACCUAGCCUGGGAUUAUGCAGUGGCAAUGCAUGAUCUAGAACCUGUGCUCCUCAAAUAUGCAGGACAAAAUGAUGUUGGAUUUACAUCAAAGUUCAUUUUCCUUUGUGGAAACUCCAGCAAAGUAUACAGUGAUGCCUUGCAGGUAUAUGUUUGCAAUUGGCUGUUCUAAAUGUAAGAUUUUUACUGCAUCUGUCCAUGUGGGUUUCAGAAAAUGAGAUGCCAAUAAGGUUUAACAUUGCCACAUUUGAUUUCUAUUGGGAAAUGAUGACAGGUACUCCCUCCAGCAAUAAUUUGUCGGUACACAACAGCUGAUUCUUUUGAUAGUUCUAAUAUAAUUAGUCCAAAUUUGUUCCGUAUCAUCUCACAUUUGAUUUAUUUUGUUAUGAUUUAUGUAUGUACAUGUUUGAUUCUGGCUCAUUUUUUCAAACCACAAUGUUGGAAAUAGAAUUGGAUGUGCUCUGUUUGUACCUUCUACUUGAAGAAACUGGCAGUUUUCAGUUCUGCCUUUAAUAUUAUUUUUACUACUAACACUGUUACACCUAUGUAGGAUAUUGCAACUCGUCUGGGAUUAAAGCAAGGAUCAUUGAUGCAUUUCGGCAUAAAUAGUGAUGUGGACAGUCUAAUACUGAUCGCUGAUAUUGUUCUGUAUGGAUCCUCCCAAGAAGAUCAGGGAUUUCCUCCUUUGCUGACUAGAGCCAUGUCAUAUGGGAUUCCUAUAAUUGCUCCAGAUUAUCCUGUCAUAAGAAAAUAUGUACGUCACAUUUGUUUCUCUUUUGAAGUGAUCUUGUAGCUAUCCUCUGAAGCUUAUAUUUUCCAUGGAUUGAUAUUUUGAAUGUAGGUUGUUGAUGGAGUUCAUGGAAUAAUUUUUCCAAAAAAACAUGCUGAAGCAUUAACAAAUGCCUUCUCCCUCCUGAUAUCUGAAAGAAAAUUAUCUAGAUUUGCACAUUCUGUUGCCUCCUCCGGAAGGCUUCGUGCCAAGAACAUGUUUGCAGAAGAAUGCAUCUUUGUUCUUGCAAAGUUAGUGGAAGAUAUCUUUGAUUUCCCAUCAGAUGUCUUGCUGCCAACCCCUGCUUCCCAACUGAAAAAUAUUGUAUGGGAAUGGAAUCUCUUUAGAAAAGAGCUCGACCAGAUAUCUAGUGAGAGAGGACAUCUGUAUAUAGAAGAUCAUUUGAGUGUGAAUUCGAGUGUUGUAUAUGACCUUGAGGAAGACAUGAUAAGUUACGUUGCAUUGGGAAAUGUCAGUGGGUACAAUCCUGAAGGUCUGGAAGAGGACAUGCCAACAGUUUUGGACUGGGAGAUCUUGAACGAAUUAGAGAGCUCUGACGAAGUUGAGAUGCUGGAAAGAGAGGAGGUACAACCAUUCUUUUGUCACUUUUGAAGUCUUUUUCAUCAUUUAACUGCAACCCCCCAUUUAUCUCUUUUAGCUGAUGGCAUCCUCUUAUGCUGUGCAGGUUGACGAAAGAUUGGAGAAAGAUAUUGGUGAAUGGGAUGAGAUUUAUCGUAAUGCUCGAAAAUCAGAAAAGCUCAGAUUUGAAACAAACCUGAGAGAUGAAGGCGAACUAGAAAGAACUGGGCAACCAAUUUGCAUUUAUGAGAUCUACAAUGGUGCAGGGGGUUGGCCAUUUCUGCACCAUGGUUCGCUAUACCGUGGGUUAAGCCUUGUAAGUUCCUCACAACUGGGUUGGUGCAUUGUACUUGGAUUACUAUUUUAUGGCCUUAUUAUGUAAAUCUGAUGGACCAAGUAUCCCCUAUUUUCUGAUUUCAUUUUAAUGAUUUCUUCCAUACUAAUCUAAGACCCGAUACAAUUUUGUUUAAGUAUUUAGGUGAGGCCAUUCAUUUGAUUAUAUUUCUCCUUUCUGUGCAUUAACUUGCUACUUCAAUAGUACUUUCUUCUUUUUGGCUUGCUGUAUCAGUCUACUAGAGCCCGGAGAUUGAGUUCAGAUGAUGUGGAUGCAGUUGGUCGGCUUCCCAUCUUAAAUGACACUUCUUAUCGUGAUAUUCUUUGUGAGAUUGGAGGAAUGUUUGCUAUAGCUAAUGGAAUUGACGACAUUCACAAGGGACCUUGGAUAGGAUUUCAGUCAUGGCGUGCUGCUGGGAAGAGGGUAUGCAUAUUUACUGUCAUGUGCAUCCAUCCUUACACGUAGACCAGUUCUUUUAAAUCCAAAUUACAUAAGAAAUUGAGUCCUGUCUCUACUACUCCCUUGAAUUAACGAUUUUUAGAACAUAUUACUCAUGAAUGUCAACGCUGCCUGCAUUUGACUAAUCUUGCUUGAUCAUCUCAGGUAUCUUUAUCUAAAAAAGCCGAAGAUGUUUUGGAGAAAACAAUACAAGGAAACACUGAAGGGGAUGUGAUAUACUUUUGGACUCAUCUCGAUAUGAAUGCCGGUGUUGUAGGACAGAAUGAUCUGCUUACGUUUUGGUCAACAUGUGAUAUUAUGAAUGCAGGAAGGUGCAGGUGAGUGUUACCAAAUAGCAUUUCAUUUAUUUACCUAUUCAAUUCUAUACUUAUCUUGUUUUCCUUUGAAAAGAUCGUCUUAGGCCCUUUAACAAUCAUUUCGAAACACCUCUAGUUAGCUGACUCAUAUUCUUUUGAUGAUUUCAAACUCACAGAACAGCUUUCGAGGAUGCAUUUCGAAGAAUGUAUGGGUUGCCAUCAAAUGUAGAAGCUCUUCCUCCCAUGCCUCAAGGUGGUGGGCAUUGGUUGGCCCUACAUAGCUGGGCGAUGCCUACGUCUUCUUUUCUGGAGUUUGUAAUGUUCUCCAGGUACUUCUUUAUGCACCAUUAUCAUUUCAUAACAUACAUUAAGCCGGCUUACUCUAUCGCUGCAUUACAUCGAGGCAGUCAAACGGAUAAUAGUUAGACUCUAACUGCGACGUUGAUCCCAGGAUGUUUGUUGAUUCUCUUCAUAGUCUACGCAUGAAUUCAACAAACACAUCCGCUUGUUUUCUGGGCUAUUCAGAACCGGAGGUAUGAUUCAAAAAUGCUAUAACUACCACACACACACACACACACAGUUUCUCAUGCUGAGUUCCACUUCGUGCAGAAGAAGCACUGUUACUGUCGAAUUUCGGAACUCCUAGUAAAUGUGUGGGCUUAUCAUAGCGCACGAAAGAUGGUUUACAUUGAUCCCAAUUCAGGCUCGCUGCAAGAACAACACCCUAUCGAUCAGCGGAAAGGCUUUAUGUGGGCAAAAUAUUUCAACAUCACCUUAUUGAAAAGUAUGGAUGAAGACCUUGCAGAGGCUGCAGACGACGACGACCACCCUUACAGACCGUGGUUGUGGCCGUUAACCGGAGAAGUUUUCUGGCAAGGCGUGUACGAGAGGGAGAGAGAGGAGCGAUACAGGCUGAAGAUGGACAAGAAGAGGAAGACGAAGGAGAAAUUGCUAGACCGGUUAAAGCACGGAUACAAGCAGAAGACACUAGGAGGAUAGACAGGCCGAUGAUCUCGUUGAUGAAACUAUCUGACUUGCACAUUGCAGCUGAACCAGUUGUCCAUUCUCAGAUCAGGAUCCGAGACGAGGCGUGCUCGUCGCGGCCUCGAUUUUCUCACAGCAUCGGGGAUACUCCCCCGCUGACACGAUCAUCUAACAUUACACGAACAUAGGCUGCCGGAGACGGCGCAGCGUGACCAAGGCCACAAGCCAGUCUCUCUCCCUCUCUCUCUACACAUGCUUGAAGCUUUUGUAAGUUGGCUCCAAGUAUCUAUUUGAGGUGUACCAAUUUUGAAUGCGGUUGUUUUAGUUAUACCAUAAACAUAGUAUAAGACUUGUAAGGUUUCUGUUUUUCUUUCUUAAAUUGUAUAUACCAUUCAUAAUUCAUAAUAAUAACAUAAUUCUAAAGAAAAACUAACCCUUUGAAGGAAACUUCUUCAUUUAUGUUUGUGGUUGUAAUAUUUUAAUUUUUGUUUUGCUAAAAUUGAACCUGAUUUGGAGGAUAAUUGCAUGACUUGAAAAAUGUAAAACGGGGUUGCUAUUGCAUAAAUAAACAAAACUAAGUUGUUGUUUGUAAAGUGAAAUCAAUUUACAAUUACAAACAAUGUAACGUGUGUGUAUUAAUAACAAAAUUCAAAAGUCGUGUGCUAAAUCAAAACUUAAAGUUUGUGUAUUUAAAUAUUUGGACUAUUAAUAAACUAGGAGUAAUAAAUUUGUUCCAGGGUUCAUAUUUUGUAAAUUGGAUUUAAUUUCUAAAAUGUUUUAAUUGUAUAAUCAUAUUUUGAUUGAUAACAAAUUUAAAAUUAUUAAUUUUUUCGGCAAAAAUUCAUUCUUGGAAUGAUAGUAUUAUUUUACCAAUGAAAUAACAUCAUUUUAACACUAACAAAAAUAGAGAAGUUGAAUUUAUUCCAAAAGUAAGAUGGAUUUACUGAAGCGCAUUAAUUUGCUACGAAUUAGAUAACGAUAUUAUUAAAACAUACUCUCUUCGUCCCAUGAAGUAUGACACAGUUAUUUUCGGCACGAGAAUUAAGAAAUUGAUAUUUUGUGUGUUAAGUGUGGUAGGUAAAAAAGUGAAAACGUGAAUAAAAAAUAAUUUUUUUGCUAUUUUUAGAAACGUGUCAUGCUUCGUGGGACAACUAAAAAGAAAACUGUUCAUGUUUCAUGGGACGGAGAGAGUAUAAAAUGAAAUUAAAAAAAAUGUCGAUUUUUUUUUUUUGAGCAGAAAAAAAUGGCGAUUUAAUUGAGGGGUUUUUGAAUGGUUUUUAGUUGACAUAUUUGCAAACACCUAAUAGCAGCUAACGACAACUUCACUGGAGCCGCCAUUGAACUGAGCUUCUUCAAUUCAGAGCUACCUCUCUCGAUCAAAUUGUGAAAAAAGCACCUAGAAUCCCAUUACACAACAGAAUGAGCGAUUGAUGAGUGUGCCGAUGAUUGUCUGUAAUAGCAGAAGAAGAGGUAUUUGCAAGAAGUUGGGGAAAUCGAAUUUGGGUUUGCAGGCUUGAAAAAUCUGUCGCCGUCGCCAUGUCUGUAAGUUUGAUGCUCAGCAGAACUUCUGUAAGGUUGCAUUUGUCCGUUUUCUAAAAAANAAAAAAAAUCCUAAUUUUGAGUUUCAGAGUUGAUUAUCAAUGGCGAACGCUAAACCAUGGCGGAUCAUCCCAAGACCCCUGCUGGAAACAGUGCUCAACAAUCACGUGCAGCACCACCGCGUGCCUCAGCCUCUCAUCCUUCAUGGCCCCCGUGGCUAUGGAAAAACCACCCUUAUUCUUGAACGUAAGCAAAUAUGACUCCCCCUUUUUGUAUGUGUGUGUGUGUCAUUGUGGUGUGCUGAGCCUAAUUAUGUGGAAUUUGUGGAAGAGAAGGUGGAAAGAUGAGAUACUGGAAUUGAUUCAUAAUAGCUUUACUUUUUAACUUAUUUAGAGAAUGUUUUCUAUGUUUUCGGAUGCAUUUGUUACAUGAUUAGAUUAUUUUCAUCUUCACCAUAAGGAGUUUUCCGAUCCUAGUCUUAGAAAUAGUUAAUGGCUUUAUGAUAUCCCAAGUUACUAAUCCAUCUUAGUAAACAAUGGAUUAGUCUAUACCAUUUCUGUCUAUCUUGGCUUGUCCUCAAAUGCAAAUGCCUCCUUGGGGUUUUAGAGUAAUGUGAUGUGUGCCUUGCAGUCUUUAGCGAUUAUCAAGUAAUAGUUUUAGCAUAACUCUUGCAAUGGGGUUUCAGUUAUCAUGUAUUGUUUGGUUAUGUAUGAGUAAAUGUUCUGAAUAUGUGUUUUGUGGUUCCCGACUAGUGUUGUUCCGUGUCCUUGGAGUAUUUAGUGCAGAUUUCAUGUCUUCAUGUCAUGUUUGGUGCAGCAAACCAAUUAUGUCUGAACUAUGACCUACCAUUCUGGUGGACUUGAUCUAAAGAGCCUUCCCAAUUUUCUUAUUGGCAGGUCUAUUUGAUAAAUGGAAUACUGGCCCGCACGUUACUGGUUAUGUCGACUUUGCAGAAUCAGUAAAGGAAUACCAUCCAAAGCAUGGGCAAUCAUAUCCAUGGACAUCGUGGACGAUGUGUCCGCCUCCUAAACUUGUUACGCUGAAGGCUCAGCUUGAGAACUGCCUUGAGUCAAUGGCCCAGAGGGCCAUAAAGCUUGGGACUAUUAAUUCCCACCAAAUAUUUAAGACUCUUACCAAAUGGCACAGUCCAACCACGGCCCUCAACCAGAUUUUGAAUGUUAAGACUGUUUCCAAAAUGCAUAUAGUUGAUAAAAAGAACAGGGUAUCCCCAUCAAAAUUGUGGAACACUGCAAUUUUUAAAUUUUCUUCUGCAUUAAAUGAGCAAGAGUUAGAUGGGGUUCUCGAUAAGAGCAUUUCUGUGGAGGAGUCAUCAUAUUACAAGGAAGCCAUGGCAGCACUGAAGUUGGCCAAAGAGGUGAUUAGGAUUCAAGGAAAGUGGAGGGAGAAUGCAAUUCAAGAUUUGAACAAUAGUGGUGGAUUUUCGCGUUCCCUAGGACAUUCUGCUACUGAUUGGCCUUGUUUGUUGCUAGAGUUAUUGUCUUUAGCUGCAGAAGUUGAUUAUUUUCAGGUAUUCAAGUUUUAUUCAAGUUUAAACUGAAAAGUUGAAGAAGGAGAGCACCUGUCAAUUUUCUAUCAGUUCUGACAAUCAAAACACGUAUGUUACAAUAUAGUGCACAGUUGGGUGUCUUUUUAGCUUUCUAAUAAUAGAAUUAAUACGAUCACUCUUUGUAGAUAUGAGUCUUGCUGCUUUCUUCAAAAGCACACCAUUAGUGUAAAUUGUGCAAACAGGAUCUGGCACCUUAUUGGUAAUAAACUAUGAAUGCAAUGUAUAAUUGGGGGAUUAUGAGAGACAAUUUAUUGUUGAUAGUUCCACCCAUGCCUCAUUUUUAACUUCUUUCUCUAUUUCUUCCUUUUUCCUGGGUACUGAUGAAAUAAGUAGCCAAAGCUGGUGAUAAACAAUAUAGAGCUUCUGAAAAAUGCUGCUUUAGAGAAUGAUAGAAUGAUAUGUGGAUCCACAUACCAUGACAGCCUGAUUUGGAGAAUAAUAGCUUUGGGUGCAAAUGAAAGGUGUCUUCCAGUAAUUUUUGUAACUUCUGAUGGGUAAGUUUUCGUAUUUAUUUAUUUCUGGUUUAUUGAAGCAUAAGAUCAGUUUGGUUGAAAGCAUAAAACAAAUUGACAUAGCUGCUAACAAAGUCAUCCAUUCAUUCUUGCUCUGAUUUUCAAGUGAUCAGAAGAUUCUGUAGGAUUAUUCUUUGACCCUCUUAAGCCUCCUGUGCUAACUCCAAAAAUCUUACCCAUAGUCUCUUUCAAUCCUGGGAUUUUCUAGUAGAGAAGUUUCCUCUCUUCCUGAUUACCCAAUUAUUUUUUGCUGCCUUUUUUGUCCUGUUUCAUCAGAUUAGCUAUCUUCUGGAAGGACUGACUGUUAAGUUUGGGCUCAUCUUUUACGGGAUCUUCUGAUCUCAUUCUUGCUCUGUUCCUUUAAUGGCUCAGAUUCUUUUUCACUCUACCACUGAAUCUGAUUUCAGGUUGAACUUAUUUGCCUGUUAUUCAGGGCAUAUAUGACCUUCUCAACGUAUGACUGUUUUAGACUAUGUUAUCAGCUAUUUAUGGCUCAUUUCAACUUCUUCAGGUCUUAUCUUCAAGUAGGAUGUUUAACCACUUAUAGCAACACUUUAAUGUGGUUAGUCUUAUUGACUACCUUACAUCUAGAUCAUUGCCCAAAAAACGAGCUAAUAAUAAAAUAGUUUGAUAUGUCUAAAACCAAUUGACCAAACAUUUCAGAAUAAUAAAAGCUAUAUUAAAGCUUUGUCUUGACCAAAAUAUUUAGCUUUAUGAGUUUGUGUUAUAACUUCAUAAUUGGUCUUCCAACUGAUUGUUGUUAUUAUUUAAUGCACCUGUUCUUCUCGUUGCUUAUCAUAGCUCAAAAAUAAUAUGCAGCUACUACUCAUAUAAAGCUUUUAUUGAUUUUGGAUUUCCAGAUGUUUUCAUCUCCCGUGAGGUAACCACCCUCUCUCUAUAUAUAUAUAUAAAUAUACGCAUAUGCUAUUAGUUAAGCUUUGAUUAUUUUGAUGCAAAUGUUAAUUUCAGACAUUUGGAUGGACUCCGGCAGAAGCAAAAUUGCAUAUGGUUGAUGAUUAUUUUAGUCAGUCUGAGGUAUUGUCAAUUGAAUUAAUAUUAGUCAUUUGUAUGUUUUGCGAUCAUAUGAUUAGUUUCUUGAAAGAAUUUCAUGUUUUCUUAUAAAUUAUAUGAAACUGGAAUGCUAAAAAAGUAUAUUAGAUUCUUAUCAGCAAUAAUUUUUAAUAUUGAACCCUGUUUGUUCCUGUUGUGUGGUCUGCCAUUACUCAAUUGGAUUUUGAAUUAUUGUUGUUUCUCUUGUUGCGAGAAGUAAGAAUAUAAAUCAAGAAGCAUCAGUAAUUGCAGGUCGAUGCUCUUUGGUCACCGUUACUUAAACCAUAAAGAUGGCAUGGGGCUAUGCAUCUAAUCUUGUUUCGGGUAUAACCUAGGGUUAUUUGAAUCUGAUUGUUAAAAAUUUACCAUUUCUUUCCAUGAUUUAUCUUGAGAGGUAAGAGAAGAUUUGGUCAAUAUGAAGAAACAAUUCUAACUGUAAUUAUGUUUCAUAAAUCCUAGCACCCUCAAAUGAAACCUUGUUUAGAACCAUCAUAGUCUUAAACUUAUCCAAAUUUGCAUUUGUGCUUAUGCUUCUAGAUAUACUUGAAAAUGUAGAGGUAUGAGAUACUCAAAUUUAUUUCUCAAAUGUUUCAUAUACUCACGUUGCUAAUCCAAUGUGCAGUGGGAAGUAAUUGUUGAGGUACUGGGGUCAAAUUCCCGACAUCUAUUUGAGGUUUAUGCUCUCAAGCUCAGUAAUUAUUACCAGAAGUAAGUUUUAUUAAUAGGCUAAAUUUCAAUAUAUAUACUGGUCAAUAUUGAAUUUAAUAUGCAACCUGUGCAUUUUCCUCUUGGUAAUCAUCUUGUUCUAGUUCUUUAGGUUUAGUUUUGCCUACACUGUUCCUAAAAGGUAUUGCCUUCACCUGUCAAUCUCUUGAUUUUAAAAGUGUCCAUACAAUGAACAUCUUGUCCAAUUUAACUAUUUUCUUCAUACAUGCUGAUGUUUCCAUCUCUAUCUGUCUUUGUCCAUGUCUACCUGUGUGUCUCCUGAUCAUACCUCCUCAUCACAACUAUAUUAUACACACAUUCCUGAAAUGCACUGUUGACUUUCCCAAAUGAGUGCAGUAGACAGCACACACCUUUUUCUAGUAACCAUCAUGACCUAACUGGCUCAGCAUUACCUUUUGUUUCCAACGAUAGCAUACGCUUCCACCAAACCACAAAUAACUUGAAAACUAUGUUAAUCAGUAAUCUCAGUUCUCUAAUCAUGGAAGGUGCGUUUUUGGAACCCCCUGCCUGUUGGUUAAAUUUUUGUCACUCUUCCUUUUCUCUUCAGUUUCCCACUAUUGUCAUUGAUGUUACCUAUCUUUUCUGCUCGUUCCACUUAUGCUGGUGGUACAAUGGUUGAGUUAAAAUGGGUGAGGAUGCUGCAUAAGGAACGGAAAAUAGUGGUUAGGAGAGAGAAGGAUGAUCUUGUUGAAAUGCAUCUUUUGCCAGAUACCAAACAUUUGGCACCCCUGACAGCUAACUUAUAACUUUGAUUUCAGGAUGCUGCAUAAGGAAUGGAAAAUUAGGUUUUAGUAAAAUGUUUCUAGCAGAAAUUAAUUGCAUUGAACUGACUACUAUAACUUACAGCGUGUAUAUUUAUCAAGAGUAUACAUUUUCUGAAUUAUGAAGAAUUAUUUUUUGAUUUGGAAAUUGUCGAGAAUUUUUUUACCUGGCUGAACAUGUAUAUCCUUCCAAUCACAGGGAGAUGAACUUUGAGAAUGAGACUACAUUUGAAGAUAUCAUGGACCUAUAUCUAGCGUACUUGCAAGUAAGGUUAUAAUAAGUUUAAAUUCUGAUCUGCAUUUCCAUUUCUUUUCCAUUUUCUACUUAUUAGGACCAGCCAACUUAGAGAACCACAAGUAGCAAACAACUAUACAUAAAAAGAAGGGAGAGGCUAAUUGGGCGAGAUUCAAUUUGGAGAAAUGGGGAAGUGUUGUUUACAAGAUAAUUGAGGCUGUCAAUUUUUUAUUCCAAGAUAAUAUGUUUGUAUUGCACAAAUAUUAAUUUUACCCUGUAUGUUACUUCAGUUUUACCAUAGUACAUAUUUUUUAUCAGAAAAUGUGGAAAAGCUAUUAUUUUCUCAAGUUCCACAUCCGUUUUCUAUUUAACACUAUUUAUCUGCUAUAGGUAAGCGUUGUUAAUCCUGCUAUGGAUAAAGCAUUAUUGCUCGUGGAAAAGUUUGCUGAUGAUGCACAAAAUGGGAAAAUCCCAGAGGAUGUAUUACGAGUCGGUGCUCCUUGGAGGCAUCCCCCCAAAACAGAUGUUGCAGCAUGGGCGAAAAUUCAGCUAAUGGACUUCAUUCAGUCUCUAGUGAAUGCAGGGUUUGUGGUAAAAUUUAAACUAAUACUGUGGUGCUACUUCUUUUCAAUGAGGAAAUUCUACAUUAUCUGUGAUUUUUUACUUGGCCAAAUUGUUCGUCAUUUUAUUCCUGCAUCUAAAAUGAGGUCUAAUUCUCAUUGACAUUGUUAUAUUAUAUUUCAAAAUACUACUCGAUUCAUGUUUUGUCCAUUUAAGCAAUUCUUAAAUUGCGUGAGAGCAUUUGAAAGUUGUCUCAAUUGGUAUUUGAGUUCUUCUGGAGGUUCUGCUCAUGUAGAACAGUUGGUCAGUUGAAUUUCUGAAAAAAUAAAAAUAGGAUUUUCCUUAAACUCAAUGCAGGUUAAUUACUUUGCUGACUGGAGCCUCGAGUUCUUGGAGGAUCCUGCCGCUGAUGCACUGCUACAGGUAAUAAUGACAUUUGUAAUUUUACUUUGUCACCUUAAUCUUGGAUUCUUAGUUCAUUGUAUCUCAGCAUUCCAGAAAUCCAGGAUGCCUUGUUUAAUAAUAGGCUCUUGUAUACCUUCAUGCACUUCUUUUACACCGAACUACUUCACUGUCAGAUUGGAGAGUUUCCACUUUCUAUAAGCUACAGACUGCUAUUGUCUUGAGUGAAUUUUUUGCAACUUCCUUAUUAUUAGAUUAUCCUUUGCUUAUAGACAAUAAAGGGUAACAGAAGUGGUGCUUUAUAGAAGAUUUGUCAUGAUUAGUCCUUUAGUUGCAAAAGGCAAUUAUCAUACCUAACAUGCAUGCUCCCUAUCCGGCUCAUAUCUGAGGGUGUGGCAUACUUUUAACAAUAUCAUUUUCGUAAUUUUAAUACAUUCUGCAGGUUGGUUUGUUGUACACCCAACGUGAUCCGUCUUUUAUUCGCCCGUCAGCCGUGGGAUCCAGAGGUGCCUUGUUAGAUGGUACGAUAUGCUGAUGCAUGGGUUUGAUUUAGCAGUUGAAGUGAGUACCUUUGUGGCAUGUCCUGACAUAUAUAAGUGCUUCAGGCUUGUUCAAGAACGGCUAAAUCUGAGCUUAAAGAACUCCGUUCGGUUCCACUGGCAGCGUGUCAUACGAGGCCGUAGCUAUCGGCACUUGUUGAAACAAGCUGGAGUGAAAUAGUGUAUGGUGGUACGUUCGAAUUCUCUUGAUUCAGCUUUGCUUUUCAUCUGGAGUUUGACUGUUGUAAUACUUUAAUAUGAAGAUAUAUGCUCUUGCAACAAUGCAAUGCAAAUGAAGGUUAUAUAAAUAUGAAUAUGCACUUUGAAGAAAUGCUCAGCUCUGCAGCUGUCAAAGUAGAUAUGAAGACUCUAACUGAAGUCUAUCCUAUUGAAAUUCAAUACAUAGUUUUACUGCAUUACUAAAUAUGAUACUCCGGUGCAUUCCUAGAAGCCAUACCAGUCUAUGGUCUAAUAAUGCGCUCGUUGUUUACAUCCGGUGUUCAUGAAAUAAGUUCAUUCACAUUGAACUAUUGCGAAUGCAGCAUCAGGUUGUUCUUGUAUGGCCAAGUUAGUGAAAGAUGAACUUUACUAUGCCACUCCAUGAAAUUAAGUGGUUCUGUUUCAGGCAACACAGCAGCAAUAGUUCGUUUAUUGGUUCGGAGCACUCUUCUGUCAUCAAAACUACACAGUAAGUCGAUGUCUACUGAUACCUUGUGCUACAGCUUUUAUCCAAAUCAGAAAUUUCUGUCAUAUUAGCUUUGAUUACGUUGUUACUGUUAUAAAUUUUUAGAGCAUCAUUUGUUCUUUGCCUUCUUCAGCUUCACUAAACGUCACCCUUCUCACCGGCUUAAAAUUGUACACUUCCUUGUAGACCAUCUAUCUGUUUUGCUGUCAUGUUCUGGAAAUCACGUAGAACUCUACCUCGUUAUCGAUUUGCUGCUAUUAGCCAUACAUCGUUCUGUUUCUGUUUCAAAAUCGUGAACAAAAAAAUAAUGUGCAGAAGUUGCAAGAACCAAAAUGGCCACAAAACAUUGAUAGUUAGUCUGUUUUCUGUAAAAUUGGUGUGUUAUUCAGCAUUCUUGAGUUAUAUAAUUAGCUAUGAUGAUGACUUACAAAUUUCCUUCCAUUGCAGUUGCGCGGCGGAAGUGAAGAUCCAAAUUUUGUUAUUGAAAUCAAACUGCAGAUUGAGAGUCAUAGAAAUAUCAAAUUCAUUUAGGAUACAAAUUUAGUUUGCAAUAUCAUGGUGUUUCUGUUAAAUAUCAGUUGAUGAAAUUUGUAUUAUGUGACCACAUUUUAAUUUGAGGAUGUGAAACUUACGUGGUGGUUUAUAUUUGUACUUUAAUUAGAUGAUUGUUUAAAACGAAAUAAAUCAAAUCUUGGUUGGAGUUAAACCAUGAACUUUACAAUUUUACAUAAUUUUUUUGACUUACCAAAUGAACUUUUCUUUUUGCAGUUUGAAUCCAUUUUCAAUUCUGAUUAAAUAUUACAUUAGCUUGUCGCAUUCUCUUAUAUAUAUACACACAUGAUUUUACUUUAUUAUUGUACUCUAAAUUUGACAGUGGAUAUAUUUAUUUUAGUAUAGUAGAUAUUAGAUUAUUGUUCGAAUCCAUCGGUAAUUACAUACCUUCAAAUAGUAUAUAGUACUUAUAGUUUUAGCUAGCAAGCAGUUUGUGUUUUUAAUGUAAUAGUUUUCUAUUGCUGACUUAUUUACUCAUAUAAUCAUAUCAAAAUUAUUUAUUCCAUGCCGUUUAAACCUGUAUAAAUUAGUUCCAUAAUAAAAAUUUAGUGCUUGUGUAUAUACAUUUCAUUAAAUCCUAAUUUGAUGUAUGUAAUCAAGGUCAUUAACUCGUAAAUUAAUACUUCAUUCGCCCACUAAAAACUUACUAAUUUUCUUUUAUGUGACGCACACAAAAUAACUUUCUACAUAUUUUUGGACUAUACCCCAUCAUUUAUAAAUACCUCAUUCACCUCUACUUUUUACAUUUUCACCACUUUCAAUACUAAUUAACAUAUUUUCAUCACUGUCAAUACAUUCAACAACCGAGAGAGUAUAUGUUCAAUGGGUAGCAACUUUAUUUGUCCUCAAACUUUCUAUUUUAUUUUUUUCAUGAAUGCAUAUUAUUUAUAAUUGUUCGAUUUUCAAUACAAUAACUCUUCCUACACAUUUUUUUUUUUACCGCAGAUGACACUUAUUUGAAGAUUACAUUCCUCAAUUUUGGCUUCAUAGUUGAUGCCACCCGAUGGGAUAUCCACCAUGCACCAAUGUACAAUACUAUACAAAAUCACAUAAAAAUACGAGAUAAAACACAACAUUAAACAAAAAAAAUUAUACGAAUUCAUAAAUUCCUAAUUUAUCAGACCAGGAUCCUCAACUUAAGAGUAGUAUCUCAUCUUCUAUUCCGAUCGUUGGACUGUCGUCACGUAUAUUCAAAAAUCUCACGACCAUUCAUCGAAAAUUUAUCAAAGUAUACAUGAAAACAAUCCAACGAUUCGAAUAGAAAAUGAAACUCCAUCUCACCAUCACGAAUAGACCAAGUGUUAUUUCCUAUCAAUCUUAAUUGAAAAGAAACAUCAAAUAUUUGGAGUGGAUGGAAUUUUCUUAGAGAAAAAAUGAUAUAUCUCAAUGGGAUUAAAUAUGUGAUCUUAAUUGAAAAGGACUUAAGCUAAAAGCUAGAACAUCAAAUAUUUGGAGUGGAUGGAAUUUUUUUAGAGAAGAAAUGAUAAAAUCUCAAUGGGAUUAAAUAUGUGUGGGUAAGCAAGCUUGUGAAGGAAUAAAGGUAAUGGUGGUGGUUAAGGUGGUGAAAUCACAUGAUAAUUUGUCUGCUAAAAUCUAAAAAUCACGAGGAACAUGUACCUUGAGCAUGAAUUUCUGUACACAAUCAUUGCACAUUAUUCCAUGUAGCAUAUCACACCUUUUUACCAUAUUCUACCACACUUUUUCCUCAUGCAUCAUCCUCUUCAUACACUAUUCAUUAUAUUUAUCAUCCCAAAUUUUUUUGUGUCACAUUCUUUACGUUUCAAUAAUUUAUUUACAAUUUUAUUCGGUUUAUGUAGAUUCGUACAAUGAAGAUCUAAUAAAUUUUAAGUAAAUUGUGUAUGUAGAAAGUUAGUAUUCUCACCAUCGCCCGGAUAAAUGCCUCUAUCUAUAUUAAAUCAUAUACCGAGAAAAAAGAUAAGUUUAUUCCAUUCGUCCAUAAAAAAUAAUAUAUUUUUGUCAUUUUGAAACGUUCACAAAAAUUAAUCCCGUUUCAUUUUUAGAAAUUUUCUAUUACAUGAUGAGCUCUUUUCUCCAUUAUAUCUCCACUUAUAAUAUAAUUAAUUGUCAUUACUAUUUUUAAGUGGGGUCCCUUCUCCACUCAUAAUACACUCAACUAUUAUUAUUAUUAUUAAGACUCGUGUUGUUCCCUUCUAAGACUGUUUUUAUGAACGGAUGAAGUAUUAUUUUUACCUUCAAUGAUUGCAUGUAAGAUUGAAUAAUUAAACAAUUUGCUUUGAGGACAAGAGUAAAAUUUAUUACUAUUUCUAUUUUAUUCAGAUUAUAUAGGUAGAUUCAUAGAAUUAGAUCUAAUAAUAAGUUAAAAUAAUUGUGUAUAUAAAAAACAAUAUACUCCACCCAUCACCUGAAUACGUGCCUCUUUCCGUAUUAAAUUGUACACCAAGAAAAUAGGUGAAUUUAUUCUUUUUACCUUCGAUAAUUGCAUGGAAAAAUUGAAUAAUUAAAUAAUUUGCAUUGAGCACAAGAAAGAGUAAUAUCAUUAUAUAUGAAAUACAUCCUUCAUAGAGGAUAAGUUUUAUUAUUUGAGGAUGCAAAGAGUAUGAUUUUAACACGAGCUAAUAUUGUUUCUAAUAUCUUAACAUUUCAAAAAAUAACUUGGAUUUUCCUUUUAAUUUCUCUCCAUAUAUACGCUAGUAUGAGAGUUUAUAAUUUGAAAAUAAUACAUAUAUGCACUCCAAUGAAAUCACUUAUUUUUAGUGAGAUCUUAGACACGAUCUCGUGCGUGCCUUGUUCAUCAAUAUAUAUAUAUAUCUUAUUCAUUACCAAUUUUUNAAAUUUCGUUAUUCAUCAAUCUGCAUGUCUUAUUCUGUUGUUCAUCAGUAUAUAUGUCUUAUUUAUUGAAAAAUAAGGGUCACAUUGAAGCGCACAUGUGUGUGGUUGUGUGAGAGAUCAUUUAAUUAAUGUUCACUAGCUUUGUAUGAUGAAUUAUAUGGUGCUUAGUUUCUUAGAAAGUUCUGUUUUUUAGAGUCAUGCAGUAAGUAGUCUGAAGACUAACUAAUGGAUACUAUUAUUUAAAAAUACUAUAUAAAUAGUAUUUGGCACUAUUCAUAGGCCAUAACAAAUGACAAAAUAGUCAAAUUGUACCCACCAAUUAUUAGAACAUGAGUUCCCAAAGAAAAUUCUGAUUAUUAAUUUAUGGAUAAAUUGCAGCCAAUAUUGCUAAGACCUAACAUAUAUAGUGAUUAAUUAAAUAAAAAAUAAUUACAUUAAAAUGAUAAAUUACAUCCGUAGUACCUUGAAAAUAUUUAAUUCUUCAUUUAAAAUCAAUAAAUUCAUUUUUUUUAUGACUAGUCAACCUAUAUGACUUCUCAUUAUUUGAUACUUGAAUCAAUUAAUUUAACGAGUUAUAUAUUUUUCCUCCAAAUUAAUUAUUUAUUCGCGUUACAUACAAGAAAAUAAAUUAAAUAAAAACCAAUCAUCGGAGAGAGCCCUAGUACUUGAUUAUAAAUACAUAUAAUCAAUUAAUCAUCCACAUAUAUAAUAAUUCAGCAAUAACAAAAUAAAUAUAUGGGAUGAAAAAAAGAGGAAAAUAAAUUGAAGGGAAGGGUGAAAAAAGAAAGAAAAGGGACAGUUCACGUGGAAAGAUUCAUAUAUAGUGUGGAUAAAUUGCAUAAAAUUGGUAAGUCCAACUGCACCCACUAUUUGUUUAUUAAUAAGUGAGAUCUGGUUGUUACGUGUAUUCAAGGCUCUUCUCCCAUGGUAUCCUAUGCUAAUUUGCUAAUGUCCUACCACAUAUAUAUACCAUUAAUUAAUUUAUUCACAAUAUCGUAUCAUACAAUCACAUACAAAUCUUUUUUUCUUUUUCUUUUUUAAUCUAAAUCAUUAAUUAUGAGGUUGUCAUAAAAAAAUAUUAUUGAUGACAAUGUAAAUCAUACAAUGAUCAAUUAUGACAAUCAUAUAGUAUCAUAUAGUGAUCGAUGAUUCAGAUUGACAUGCUCAUGUACCUGGUAUUAUAUACAUCCUUCGUCCAUCAAAUGAUUUCAUAACUUUUCUUUUAAUAGGAGAAGUUACGUGUAUAUGGAUUGAAUCGGGUAUAAAAACCAAUUUUAUUCCAUGGCUUUAAUAUGUAAGUAAAUCAUUAUUUUAAGCUUAAUAUAUCAAUCUUAAUCAUCCCUCAAUUAAAAUGAAUAUAUGACCUAAAUUGGUUUCUACUUAAGUAAUCAAGAUGGUUUUAUUUGAUCAUUCAAGCAUUCUACUAAUAUAGUAUAGUGUAUACCAUUUUCUCAUGUAGUUAAAUGGGUGGGUGAUCGAUCUUAAUUAUAAUUAAAAGAUUUUAAAUAUAUUUGAAUUUUCGCCUCAAAAAAUAUAUAUAUUUGAAUUUUGUCGACAGCCUCUUAGAAUUUGAAAUUUGGAGAUGGUUAAGGGGGGUGGAUUUCAAGGGGGUGGAAGGGAGGUGGCAAACAUUGCAUUAUUGCAUAUUGAGAUUUAGAUAAUUAAUUAAUUAAUUGCUCUAAAAAAAGAUUAGAUAAUUAAUGUUUCCGAUUCUAACAGCACCGAAUCAGAGGGGUUUGGAAACAUCCUCGCCGUUUUAGUCACCGUAUCGGAAUUUGUACAAUAAUAACUUAAAUAAUUUCUAUUUUAAUUGUAUUUUUUUAGGGGUCUAUUUUUAAUUGUGUUUUUUGUACAUCUUCAUUAUUUUUCAUGUAUACCAUUGGUUCUCCCUUCCUCCGAUUGAAACAAAAUCUUAUUUUUACUCGUAAUCCAAGUAUUUUUUUUUAUUAUUAUUUUUGAAUUACAAGAGAUAUCUAAAUAUUAUAUAAUUAAAAACCUGCACCAAAAAAGGUGAAAAAUAUUUGUGCCGCACGAGAGGAACCACUACACCACACAAAGAUAAAAAAAAUACACCGCAUGCAGGCGGAAUUGAACUCUGUUCAAGCUAAUGAAUCAAAUUUACAACAAUUUUAGCGCAAAAGUGAUUUUCAUAGUUGUAGUGCGUAGAGCUACAACUUGUGACCAAAAAUGAUAUACGUGGCUAGCAAUGUGGACGACACAUCGUUGGGGUCACGUUCAAAAUAAGAUAAAUUAAAAAAAAUAGAUUGGAUUAAAAUUAUCACAAAAUCAUAAUAUUAAGAUAAAUUUGUAUCCACCUACAAUAUUAUUUCAUCUAUGUUAGAUUAUGUGUCGUCGACCAAUUAUAAUCUGACACUAUAUCACUUUUCAACAAUUUUAUAAAUGCAAAUUCAAUUUUCUAAAAUUAAAAUUAUCACAAAAUCAUACUAUCUGCUCAUUCGAUCGUAUCUUCCAUAAUUUUUUUAAAGUUAGAAUAUUUCAAGGUGGAAAAAAAGAAAUUAAAACGACAAAAAUAGAAAGUAUGGGAAAAGCAAGGUAAAAUAGAAGAUAUAAUCCAAAAACCGCGUGAGAAGUGGUGGGAGCCCAUUUAGUUACCACUUUUAUAACUUUUUCAAGUAACGUAACUUCUAAACUUGCAGUUAUAGUUAGCACUAAUCCCAAAAAGUAAUGUCAAUUCCCCUCUCUCUCUCUCUCUACAUUUAGAUACACAUAUACAUACAUAUAAAUGGAUUGAAUGAAUUUAAUUAAUGUAGAACACCUCAUAAGCUCAGUAUCAACAGCAGAGCAUCACUUUAGACAGCAAUGGGAAUAAUGAGACCAAAUGUCAUCUAAGUUAAGAAUCUUUUUGGUCUAAAUAGGCUUCUAUUUUUUGCAUUAAUGUGAUCACUUAGGUUUAUGCCAUUUUAAAGUGAUUCUUCAAGAUUGUGGUUGUAUUUAUGUGGAGUAAAAGACAGAAUUAGACGUUACGACAGAAUGUGUAUUACUGGAUAUAUAUAGCGUGAUAUAAUCAACCGUUAUAAUUAUAGGCAAAUGGCUCUAUAUGUGAUAUUGGGAUGCUUAUACCUAGCUCAACUCAUCUUUGAUCAUCAAUUGCAAGAUGAAUAGGAAAGUUGAAAAUUGCAAUUUGUAGAAUCAUUAGUCCCUCAAAAUAAGCAAGGAAAAAGCACUUUGCAAUCUCCCUUUUUUCAAGCUUAAGUCAUCAUAAGUGUGAUAUAGAAGGAAAAGGCAAUGCUUACUUAUUUUAGGCUAUGAUGAUAAUAGGUCUAUUUUACUCUACACUCCAACUAAACCUAAAAUCAACUAUAUACCAAUUUUUCUAUACACCCACAAAAGCAUUACAAUAUCGAUUUAAAUCUGAAUCCCCAACUCGACAAACUGUGAGAUCGGCAAUAUCAUACAAGAUCUUCUUUAAUCAAAUACGACAAGCGGAAAACAGAACAUAGCGUAAAAUCUCACGAUUGCUAAAAAUGAAAGAAUUUUGGACAUAAAAGGCAUCUCAUCAAAUAGAAAGUGUAUGAUAUUAUGCAUUAAAUGAUCAAAACAAGCCAGAAAUAAAGGAGGCAAACAAAAAAAAUCCUUUCAAGAAUGGUAAAUCCAGCCCCAAAACCUGCAAAAAUCACAACAUAUUUCAUGUGCUAGGAGCCCUAGCUAUGACAAGCAACAAAAAAGAAAAGGAAAAUAGAAAUGGCAACAAACCAAGAAAAAGCCAAGAUUUGUGAAUUUAAGGAGAAAAAAAGAAACCCAAGAUUGAGAUGCAUCACCUCCAAAAGCAAACAGUUCAUGACAUAGACAUGUUACAAAAGUUAGCUCACUUGUGUAAGAAUAAAGAAACCCCCCCAACCCCCACCCACCCCCUACCACCCCACCCUCCCCACCCCCACCCCCCACCCUUUCCCUCACUCAAUUACCUUACAUCGCACGCCUCCCCCCCACCCUUAUACAUAAACAUAUAUUGACGCAAAAAAUAAAUUCACACACACUCUCUCAUUUUGCUUAUCAAAAAAACCUCACCAUUCCCCGCCCCCACAACACACGCCUCCGGCCCCCCCAAGCCCCCCAUCGGCAUCGAGGCGAAAUCCGGCGCGAGUAACGAUGUCUGCAGAUCUCGAAAUCAGACUUCCAAUCAUCGAUGCUGCGCCGACUUCUCAAGAUUCCGACAAGAUUGACAGCAUUGAUGGCGACAGCGAGAGCUGCAUCAGUGAGGAGGAAGAGUGCCUGACUCCGAAAUCAACGGAGCACAUGAUCCCGGCGGCGCUCAGCCCCCCGCCGGCGCCGAAGAAGCCGCUGCGGCGGCGGGGCUCCUCGUGCAAGAGGAAGCUCUACGAGCUCGACUUCUUCGAGGCCGUGGCCGAGGACAAGAUCGACGCCUUCUUCAGAAAGGCUGAGGAAAAUAUCGGCGGCGCCGUCGCCGCCGCCGCAAAGAGGAGAUGCGUGGUGUAAAGAGGAUUUCGGCUGACACGUGUUGUCUUGUUAAUGGUGAAAAUUUAUUUGUUUUUUUUUAUAUAGAGAAAUUAGUUUGGUUUGAGAAAGAAUUCUCAAGCCUAUGAUCAUGAUUCAUGAUCUUUAUGAAUUAUGUAUGUAGAUUAAUUACACGGUUUUUUUAUUUCUUUUAUAUAUAAUUGAAUUAUCUUUCUAUGAAUCUCCGAUUAUUGAGUUGAUUUAAUUUGUAGUUCUUGAUCAUAAAUUGAUUGGUGAUCAGGUAAAAAUAAUUUUUUGAUUUUUCGUGUUGG